UUUGAAAUUGCUCUGGGUAAUCAAUUUGUACCUUGGAACACUUGUAAAGCAGCUAAAAAUUCAUCUUUCAGAAGUAUGUAGCUUUCUCUGUUCUUUGUAUCUAUUAAUUCCACCUUCAGCUCAUCUUUUAUGCUUUUUGUUUUUCCUAGCUGUGCUCUUUGGUUAUUGGGAAUGUUAAAUCUUUUUGGUGAAUUAUUAAGGGUUUUGGACCCCUGAAAGGGCAUAUACAUCCAAUUAAGCUUCAAUCUUCUUUUGUGUUUUGAUUUACUCUCUCGAUUGCAUGUAGUAAUCUCUUGUUUUAGAUAUGGUCUGUAUGAAGAUAAGAAGAUGCUCAAAACUGCAAGUAGUUGGAAUGUGUUUUCCACUUCAGGUGUAUCACUUGCAGAACUUUUAAAAACCCUCCCCAACAUUAUGAGUCCUUUUUAUUGGCUACAUUAGAAUAGGUUAGAUAGCCACGCAAAACUUUUGAUGAACCUUUCUUAUAUAAAUGCUUGCCUGUGAACAAGUGUAGCUUUAGCCUUUUUAGCAUUCUCACCCUUUUGCUAGUGACACUCUUAUGUAAGGACAUUGUAUUUUAUCACUAUUUAUAAUCCUCUUGCCUGUAACUUUAAGUUGCUGAAACAGUAUGAAUAUGAAAUCACCAUUAUCUAUUGCUUAAAUAGUAAGAUGAUCUGCAAGUUGAUUGCCUUCUCUCAUGAUAUGUUGUACCUGUACCUACUUGUUUAGAGUAGUGCCCAUAUUUGAUUUAUGAACACUAAAACAUUCCAAGGGAACCUCCACUCCUUCGUUAGAUUUUCGGAACAAAAAAUGAAUUUUUUUAAAACACUACUUUGUUAUAUGCCGCUUUACUACAAUAUGUUGCUGCUUGUAACAUAGCCAUAAUUUCUGCUUCCACAUUAGUAAUAUCUGCAACUGUAGCUCCUUAUGCAUAGAGUAAAUCCCCUUGGUCAUUUCUUAAACAAAAGGCAUAGGAACUAAUACCAGGAUUUCCUCGAAAAGCACCAUUUAUAUUGUAUUUCACCCACCCUUCCGCAAGAAGUUUCCACCACACUUUGGUAAUCUUCAGCUUAGCUUUCCUCUGCUCCAAUUCUUUAACUAUCUCUGGCUAUGCAUAAUGAAACUAUUGUUUUGGAUUUCUAACUUUAAGCAAUAUUCCAAUGUUUCUAGUUACAUUGAAUAUGUCUUUUUGCAUUGAGCUGGUUUUUCCAUCAUGGUUUAUUUUGUUCCUUUUCUUCCAUAGUUCCCAAAUGAUCAAGUUAGGGAUGGAUUAAUAAUAUGCUUUUUCUAUCCUCUUUCUAUCAACAUUCCACCAUGCUAUUAUAAUCUCCCUGAAUCUCAACCCUUCUAUGUUAAUACCUGCAAAACAAGAGAAAUAUGACCAUGUCUUAUUAGCAUGUGGAGAUUUUAGAAACAUAUGUGAAAUUGUUUCCUGCCCUAGAUUAGUAUAACACCAGUACCUAGAAGGUCCUUGUAAACCCUAUCUUCUUAUAUUUUCAUCCAUAGACAAUUUUUCUAUCCAUAAUCUCCACAUUAAGAAUGCCAUUUUGAAUGGUAAUCCCUUUAUCCAAAUAUUCUUAGAAAUGUUGUUCUUAUAAUUCUUCUGUCUGAUGUAUUCCCAUGCUAACUUAACAUUAAAAGAACCUUUAGAUUCCAACAUCCAAAUGGGUCUAUCAAUUCCCGUUAGGCUAACUGGUGGACUUAUUGUAUCAACAAUAUGAUCUUUAAUCUCCCGAUUUACUAAUUGAGAUAGCAACUGCUCAUUCCACCUUCUAUCUAUCAUUAAAUCCUUUACUUUCUGAUACCUAUUGUCCCAUCCUCUACUCAUUUGAGUAAGAGUAUAUAGGUCAUCAUAACCUUUCCAGUUGUCAAACCACAGACUUGCUUCUCCAUCUUUAAGCUACCAUAAUAUCUGAUGUUCAAUAAGAUCCCUUGCCUGUAACAUCUUCUUCCAAACCUAAGACCCUGAUCCUGGCUUCUACAUAACUUUAUUAGGAUGAUUUUUUUUACAGUACUUACUAUGCAUAUAAAUACUCCAUAUAGACCUUUUAGUCCUAAAUUCCACCAUUAUUUACAAAAUAAUGCCAUAUGUAUAUCUUGAAUUCUUCUAAAGCCCAGCUCUACUUCUUUUUUAGGAAGACAUAAAGAAUUCCACUUAACCCAGUGUCUACUUUUACCUCUUAUAUGACAACUCUAGAAAAAUUGAGCAAAACUUUUAUGGAUAGCAUUCAUAACAUUCAGAGGGAGAUUCACAACUGAAAAGUAAUGGGUAGGAAUACUUUGAAGAUUAUGCUUCACUUGAAUCUGACUUAGAAGCCUUCAAUGCCAGAUAUUUUUCCCUUUUUACUUCCUUUUUCUCUUGACCUUGCUACUUUUUGAGUUCAUGUGUCUUCAAAUUACCAAUAAGUUCAUCCAUAGUGACAGUUUUCAGGUUCCUUGCCUCAGUGAUAGUAUCCACUUUGCUUUCCCAAGAUUUAGGCAGAAACCCCAGAAUAUUUCUCACCUGUUUGUACAAAGGAAUGACUUCUCCUAGGUAAUGCAACUCAUUGGUGAUUGAAGUAAAUCUAGUAUGCAUCUCUUGGAUAGUUUCUCCUUCUUUUAUGGUGAAGGUUUCAUACUAAGUAGUAGUAUAUCAACUUUUGAAUCCUUUACAUCAGUGGUUCCUUGAUGCGCAGUCUUAAAUAAUCCCAGAUUUCCUUAGUAUUUUCACAGGCAAAAAUCUUGUUGUAUUCAUUGGGACCUAGCCACAAACUAGUAGUUUCUUGGACUUGUAAUUUUUCUCAACUUUCCUUCUAUCUUCAUCAUCAUACUCUCUCCUUCUUUUAACAACCAUUCUAGUUAUGUCUCAUUCCUUGACCUCUUUAACUGGCACAUGAGGACCAUCAAGUAUUACAUCUAUCAACUCACUAUAGUCAGCCAUAAUGAAGUCAUACAUCUUUGUUUCCCACCACCCAUAGAAUUUUCCAUUAAAUCUAUGUGGUCUAGUGGUAUAUUGCCCUUCUUCCAAAUUAGUUAGAGUAGCCAUGAUAACCAAAUCACUUUAGGUGUGAACCUUUUAGAGCAUUCUAGCUCUAAUACCAAUUGAUGAAAUAUAAGGGGGAUACACCACACUCUGAGGGACCAUGUCCCUUAGAGUCAGACAUAGGCAAUAAAAUAGUAAACCACUAAAAAACUAAAACCUUGCAAGAACGUAAAAAACAUAGUGUUUUAACAUGGAAACCUCCUUUCUCAAGGGAGGAAAAGCCAAGACUUGCCCUCACAAGUGCUCAACAAUCCACUAUAAUCAAACUCUUGAUUACAGACUCUAUUAGUACCUAACUCUAGGAUCAUCUAGUUUGUAACAUCUCUAUUACACACCUACCUUGAAAACUCUACCAAGAACUCACCUUGAUAUUGAUUAACUCUAACCAAUGUCAAACUCAGCUAAUUCUACCUAAUCACCCUCAAGAACAAAAAAAGGCAUUACUAUUAUAACAUGAGUAAUUCAGUUACAGACCAUGACAUGACUCAAGAAUACUCACUCCUUCAGUACAUAAAGAAAUUAAGAACUUGAGCAAUAUUGCAAAGUCAAGUUUUUGCCAAUUUCCUUCUCCUCUUUUCUGAUUUUUCAAAAACUCACAAAUUAAGAAGAAUUCUUUUCCUUUUAUAGUGGAAUAAUGAUUAGGGUAGAAAUUUAAUUGGGCCAAGUAUCCUAAUGGGUACAAGAUCACCUGCAUAGUUUGUUACACUAGAAGAUAAAAUUAUGCAGGAUAGUGACAGUUGUAUUGGAUUCGUGAAUACCUAGGGACCUGGUCCCUUGUUGUCACCUGAUCAUCAUCAAGAUAAGAUACAACAAUUCGAAGACCUAGGGACCUGGUCCCUUGUUGUCAGCUGAUCAUCAUCAAAACAAGAUAUAGCAAGAUUACUUCAUUAAAAUAAAUUUCAUGAUACAUAUGAAUCUAUCACUAUGCAUAUGUAUCAUAGUAAAAAAUGUAUUUUUCGUUCAUGAUAUAUAUAUAUAUAUAUAUCAUAGUAAAAAAGGUAUUUUUCGUUCAUGAUAUAUAUAUAUAUAUAUAUAUGAAUGUACUUGAAUUUCUAAUGUAUCAUAGUCUACUAAUUCAUAUAUAAUAUGAAGCUUAUUAAUAUUUGCUCAUGAAAUGUGCAAAUGUAUCUCUAUACAUAUGUAUCAUAGUAAAAAAGAAUGUAAUUUUCGUUUAUGAUACAUAUGAAUGUGCUUGCAGGUGCAUAUUCAUCAUAAAACUAAAGAAUGUACUUUUUAGGCUUAAAUCAUUCAUUUCCCCCUAAAGUUGUCCACAAAAUUCACUUGGACACCUCAACUCAUCCUUAUACCUAUUGAAUACUUAAACCACUCAAAAUGUAUACCAAAUUAGCCAUUUUUUGAUAAUCAUCCACAAGUAUAAGAUGUGUGUAUCACACUCGUAGUGAUGUGGCAAAAAAGACCAAUUAAAGAAGGACAUGUAGUAGAUAAAUUUUAAAAAAAAUAUAAAAAUUUAUGAGUAAAAUAAAUAUAUUUAUAAUUUAAACCCAAACUUAACUACCCAACUUUCAUCGUCGCCAACCCCCUUCCCCCUCGCCACCUUCAUUUAUCAGCUCUCCAUCCAUCGGACCCUAUCAUCACGCUCCUCCUCUUCAUCACCGCCACCUUUAUUCAUAGACUCCCCAUCUGCUCACCCCCAUUGCCACCUUUAUUCAUUGCACCCCACCCCCUACCUCUAUCACAUUACCACCAUCUUCAUUCAUUAGCUGGAGCUAUCUUCUCCAUUUUAAGCUCAAUAAUGGCAUAACAAUUCAACAAAAAAAAUCAAUGAAAAUUCAUUAAAUAAGCUCACAAAAGCACUAAACUUUAACGCAAGAAGUUGACCAUUUAUUAAAGUCAAAGAAUUGGUGUUUUUAUCUAAUAAUUAAGAAAAUGAAUUGAGUUGGAAAGAAUUAAGCUUCUUACAAUAUCAAAGUAUGAAUCCUCUAUAUUUCUUUCCCUUUCUGUCUUUUUUCUUGUUCUUCCUUAAAUUUGUGGGUUUUUGUAAGAAUAUGUUCCUUUUUUCAUUUUGUUCAUAUUUGUUCUUCUUUCUUUUUUAUCUUUCUGUUUCAGUUUUUGUUUAGUGGGGAAGAAGAACAUUUUAGAACAAUGUGGUGGGGGAUGUAAGAUUUGGGUGGUGGUCUCUAUUUUUUCAACAAAUAUGGCGGCAGACGGUAGUUGCAUCUUGAAAAAAAAAUAAAAUGAAGAAGAACACAAAAAAAAAAGAAAAUUUGAAAAAACCCACCUCUCACAUGCCACUUUGUAGUGUACUACACUCAUUAAAUCAUGUUAGUAAAAAGUGUUCAAGUUGUUCAAAUUCAUAGUAGUUAAGGUGUUCAAUAGGUAUAAGGCUAAAUUGAGAUGUCCAAGUGAAUUCUUUGGACAACCUUAGGGGUCUAUGGAUGACUUAAGUAUUUUUUUCAUUCAUGAUAUAUGUGAAUGCAUCUUCAUGCUCAUGUAACAAAUUUAUAAAUUUCUUAUGUAUAUAGUAGAUUAGUACGUGACAAUGAUACAUAUGAAUAUCUAUUCACACAAUUAUAUUGUUCUUGAUAUCAAAGUCGACCAAUUUUUAUCAAAAUGAAUUAAUGUAUCAAUCACAAGUACCAAGUAUACAUGAAUCAAACAUAUGUAUCAGAUAAACAUAUUUGAUACAUAUCAAGAACUUGUGUUUCCUUCCCAUAAUUUAAGGAUGAUACAUAUGUUUGAAAUCUAAUGGUUUAAGUCAUCGAUAGAUCCUUAAACUUAUUUCGAUAUUUCACUUGGACCCCCCAAUUUUGACUUGAACCUAUAUACGCCCAACCCACAUGAAAUUUGAUCCACGUAAGCCUUUUUUUCCAAUGGCUCAUCAAAUCUCCUGCGCGUGUUAUCAAGCAUGGCUUACGUGGAAAGUUAGUCCAUUCAAUAUUUUUCACGUGGAUUAAACACAUUCACAUUUUCUUUUAGUAAUGCUGAACCAACUUUGCUUUUGCAUAGUGUUUUGGUGCAAUUUUUUUUACUUAUUGACUUGAAAAUUAAAUUUCAACUCUUUCUGAACACUUUUAUUGUAAUAUUUUCUUGAUUUUUUCACUAGAGGUUCAAGAAAAAUUGGUUCUCGACGAAGCUUUUUUUUUUUUUUAAAUUUAGCAACAACAAUAUACUCUCUAGUUCUGAUUUUCCAUUGAGACUCGCCAAAAAAUGCAUCCCAUUGGAAAAUUCAAUUUGAAAAAUUCCCCCAACAAACCAACAACGAGCUCUUACCCGACUUACAAAGCUCCAGUUCAUACUAAAUCAAAUCAUUUUUUCAUAAAAUUCCAUCAAAAAAAUGCCACCACCACUACUACUAACUUUGACAAUUUCAAUUAGUCAACCAAACAAUAACACCAGAAACACACACCAUAGCAAAACUAAAAAGAAAUGGAAUUGCUAAGGAUUAAAAAAAAGAAGGUUACAAAACUUGGAUGAAGAAAAUGCCGGGGGGGAGGGGGGCGAUCUUUCUUAUUAUUUUAAUUAAAAAUUUAUUAUUAUUAGAAAUUAUAUUAAUGAAAUAAAUUUAACAAUAAACUCUUAAAAAUAAAAAUAAAAUAUUAUUUGCUAGUCAAUUCAUGCACCUAAAGAAAGUGGAAGACACUUUUCUUGCCAUAUCAACACUUUGUGCCCAAUAGGUAUACAUUUUGAAUAAUCUAGGUACUCAAUAGGUUCAAGUCUCAGUUGAGGGGUCCAAGUGAAAUCUCGAAACAAGUUUAAGGGCUUAUCGAUGACUUAAACCNNNNNNNNNNNNNNNNNNNNNNNNNNNNNNNNNNNGGAAUGUUUAAAUUCUAUUUUUUUGCUAUUAUAGAUAUUUUAGAGAUUAUCUCCCAUAAUUUACUCUCCUAAAUAAUUGUAGUUCUGUUACUUUCUUAUUUAACGAACAUAUUGAUUUAAAAUGUAUCAAAGAUGAUAUGUUUCAAGACUUAAAAUAUAUAUAAGAUUUAUAAAAUUUAAUGUAAUUAGGUAAAAUUGUGAUAAAAAUAUUAGUGGGAUGUUACCCAUAAAAUAUGUGGACAUUUGAAGCAUCAAAACGGAAAGUAAAGAGACUCAUUUGAGCUCAAAUACUCCAUUUCAACAAAAUCGCUCCAUCUUUAAUGGUCUUCACUAUGUCUGAGGUUCAUCUUCUCUAUCUCUCCCUGUCACAAAUGAAAUUCUUUGUUACAUGGACUCUUCAAGUCUACAUUUUAAUUAAAUUGACUCCAAUUUUUUUAGGGAAAUGACCAACUUUUGAAAAUUUAAAUUUAUUUACAAGUUUUAAAAGUUACAAAUUAGUCCACAAAUCACCAACUUACAGAAUUUAAACAAAACCUCUCCCAUCAUUUUUUUACAUAUUUUACAAAUUAGACCAAAACUUAAUUGUGAUGGACAGAUCCAUUAUCGAUCCGAUUGUGUCACAACCCGAACUGGGGCCCUGGCCGUGACGAGUAUUCCGAACCAUGAGGCCCGAAACACCCCUAUUUGUCUGGUAACCAUGCACACAAUUCAUAUGAUAAAAGAAAUACAAAAUAUACACAAUAUAGCGAAAACAUGGUCAAGAAUCAUGCGAAAGUAAUAAUGGGGAAUAGUGUCCCACAAUCUCAACACAAUUUUUGUAUAACGUCUGUGAAAUCUCUACUACAUGACUAAAAUAAAUGUCUAUCUGAAAACUGGGACAAGUCCCCCAAUAGACCCAAAACUAAUAAAUGAUAAAUUAAACUGCAGACAUCAGGCCUUCCGAAAUAUAGAAGGCUCACCACUUGAUUCUGCGAUCUGUCAGAAGGAAUCUACUGGUUGUCUGGACCCCUAGACUGUGCCUCCGAACCUAGGAGGAGAGGGGGUCAAUACAAAAGUACUGGUAUGCAGAGGAAUCAAAACAAAAAUAUAAUAUUUUUACACAAUAUAGGUGCGAGCCAUUAUAAAGCAGUUUCAUAUCAAAUUAUUUGAAAACACAUGGGCAUAAUGUAAUAAUUUUCAAUAACAAUGUAAUGCGAUUGAGAUAGGUGGAAUACCCUACAAUUGUAAUUCCACGGCUAUGUGGAAUCCGCCUCUGAUGCGGCCAAGCCUCCAAUCUAAGUAGCCACGAGGAUUUGGAGAAGGUAUACCCCCAUGUGAGUACACCGCAGGGAAUCCCCCCAUGUGAGAUGUUCCAAUGAUUUUAUUAUCCUCCCAUGUAGGAUACAAUAUCAUAUGACCUGCAUCGGCAACUACGAUUUCCAGCGAUGAGCCCUUUCACUCAAACGCCUUCUUUGGGCAUCCACUUUUCUCAUGAAAAUCAAUGCAUUAUGUAAAUCAUGCACUCAAUUUAUCAUCAUUAUGAAACACAUGCAUAUCCAUAUAUAAUAUAUCAAAUCACAUUGGAAUUAGGCCUAAAAACCAAAUCAAUAUCAUAAAAAAUUUAAAACAUAAUCAUAUUCAUAAUUUCAAAACCCCCAUUUCGAAAACAUAAACUUUUAAAGCCCAUGAGAUUUUUAAGAUAACCCCACGUACCUCUAUAUGCGAAGAUUAUAGGUGCUUCUUAAAGCCUACGUUCUGGGGAUUCCAAAUAUGCAAUUAGUUUCUAAAACCCCCGGUUGAAUCUUGAGUUGCUUGGGUUUUUAUUUUGAAACCCUAAGGAGAAUCCUUGAGCAAUUUUGAUGAAUGAAGGAAGGUGUAUUUUGGGGUCUUUGGAACUGAAUUUCGUGUUUAGGGCUAAGUAAGGGUGGAAAAGGACCACUUUUCCCCAAAAACGGAGUGUUUAAGUCACUUGAAACAUUUACAUUGGCACCGCCUAUGCCAUCGCCUAUGUUUACAUACGCGUUGCCUAGGCUAUUGCCUAUGUUUACAUAGGUGCCGCCUAGGCUAUCUCCUAUGUUUACAUAGGUGGCGCCUAUGCUAUCGCCUAUGCUUUUCAGUGGCCAUGUGCGAUUGGUUAGGCGACGCAUAUUACUUUGACAGGCCAUAACUUCUUGCUCGGGUGCCAGAUUUUAGCAAAAUUGGUAUCAUUGGAAAGCUAACUCGGAAACCUAUCAUUUUACACAUAGUAGGAUUUCUAAUUCAAUAUAUACAAAGAGUCAUGGUCAAUAGAAGUUGACAUAAAUUAUAAUGUCUACUUAAGCUUAAUCGGUCAAAGUAGUUUUCAACUCGUCCUUGAGUCAAAUAACCCCUAAGGUGUAAAUUCAAUCUUGAAUGGAUUCACAUGAUACACAAAUAAUUAACAUGUCGUAUUGGCAUAGGAUUUAUGGCUUCGGGAUUUAUCAACAUAUGGAAUCAUGAUCUAUAUUGUAGCCCAAAAUGCGGGGCAUUACAUUAUCCCCCCCUUAGGAUUAUUCAUCCCCGAAUGAUGAUGCGAGAUACGGACAGACAAGAUUUCAAGUAUAAUAAAGGACUAGGAAAGAUAAAAUAUGAAUAGUACCUUCUGUCUCCUCCUCCAUCAAAGCAAACAAAUUGGGAUAUCUAAUUCUCAUGUCAUCUUCUGACUCCCAAGUUGCUUCUUCGACUUUCUGAUUCCUCCACAGUGCCUUUACUAAGGCUAUCUCUUUGCUCCUCAGCUUUCGAACUUGGCAAUCUAAAAUUUCAAUGGUCUCUUCUUCAUAAGACAAGGAAUCUAUCACUUUGACACCCUCUACUAGAAAUACCAAAGAAUGAUCUCCAAUGCAUUUCUUCAACAUGGAUACAUGGAAUACCGGAUGAACGAAACCCAAACUUGCAGGCAAUUCUAGCUCAUAAGCAACUACACCAAUCUUCCUCAGAAUCUGAUAUGACCCUAUAUAACGAGGGCUCAAUUUACCUCUUUUUCCAAAUUGCAUAACUCCUUUUAUAGGAGAAACCUUGAGAAACACCCAAUCACCAACUUUUAACUCUAGUUCUUUUCUCUGAACAUCGGCAUAGGACUUCUGACGACUCUAAGUAGUCUUGAGUUAUUCUCUAAUGAUCUUCAUUUUCUCCAUCGCCUGAUGAACAAGAUCAGGCCUAUAUAAUUGAGUCUCACCCAUGUCAUACCAUCCUAUCAUAGACCUACAUCUCCUCCCAUAUAAAGCUUUAAAAGGAGCCAUCUUGAUGCUGGCAUGGUAACUAUUAUUGUAAGCAAAUUCAACCAGUGCCAGGUGAUCUACCCAACUACCUUUAAAAUCAAUGACGCAUGCCCUUAAUAUAUCCUCAAGGGUCUAAAUGGUACGCUCAGCUUACCUAUCCGUCUGAGGGUGGAAAGCUGUGCUCAAAUUCACUUGCGUACCUAAACCCUUCUGAAAAGAUCUCCAGAAUUGAGAUAAAAACUGCGUACCUCUAUCGGAUAUAAUGGACACUGGUGCCCCAUGCAACCAAACUAUCUCCUCAAUGUAAAUCUUAGCAUAACCCUCUCCUAAAUAAUUAGUGCUCAUAGGCAAAAAGUGGGCUGACUUUGUCAACCGAUCUACAAUCACCCAUAUAGAAUCAUACUAGUUUUGGGAUCUCGGAAGUCCUGUAAUGAAGUCCAUGUUUAUCAUAUCCCACUUCCAUAAAGGUAGGGCUAUCUCUUGGGAAGUACCACCUGGCCUUAUGUGUUCUAUUUUCACUUGUUGACAGUUCAAACACUUGGACACAAAAUCAGCUACAUCAUGUUUCAUGUUAUUCCACCAAUACAAGGUUUUUAGAUCAUGGUACAUCUUAGUAGAGCCUGGGUGAAUGACAUACCUCAAAGUGUGAGCUUCAUCAAGGAUCCUUUUUCACAGUCCAUCAAUAUUCAAAACGCACAACCUGCCCUAAUAUCUCAGAAUACCAUCACCACCAAUUUCAAAUGACAUUACCUUCUGUUGACCCAAAUCUUUCUUGAUUUGCAUCAAGAAGGGAUCUUUAACUUGCUUUUAUUUAACUUCAGCACAAAGGGAUGGCUUAGCUAACUCAUGAACAAUCACCCCUCUAUCUUCGAAAUCUAUGAGUCGCACUCCCAGAUUCACGAGGUGGUGAAUAUCCUUCAGCAUCUCUUCCUUCCCUUUUUAACAUAAGAAAGGCUGCCCAUAGACAACCUGCUGAGGGCGUCGGCUACAAUAUUUGCCUUUCCCGGAUGGUAAUGUAGAAUCAUAUCAUAGUUUUUCAAAAGAUCCAUCCAACGCCUCUGCCGGAGGUUCAAUUCUUUCUAUGAGAAAACAUACUGCAAACUCUUAUGGUUAAUAUAAAUAUCAACAUGCACUCCAUAGAGAUAGUACCUCCAGAUUCUAAGUGCAAAAACCACGGCUGCUAACUCCAAGUCAUGAGUGGGGUAAUUACGCUUAUACACCUUUAACUGCCUAGAUGCAUAAGCUAUCACCUUACCACACUGCAUCAAUACACAACCAAGUCCCAUACGGGAUGCAUCAUAAUAAAUGAUAAAACUAUCUACACCCUCAAGAAGGGUCAAAAUAGAAGCAGUAGUCAGCUUGUCCUUCAACUUCUCAAAACUAUUUUCACACAAGUCAGACCACACAAAAUUUAUCUUUUUCUGAGUUAGUUUAGUAAGCGGAGCAGCUAUGGAAGAAAAACUCUCUACGAACCUUCUGUAAAUAGACCGUCUAAAUUAUGCAUUUGAAAUAUCUCCCAGAGCAGUUGGGGGAUGGUUGAAAUUAGUCCACAGAGCCCGAGGUGGACUGGUCGGGACUGGAGAUACUCCCAAAGUAGUGACAAGUUCUGGAGUGUGAGCUUUGUUAUGGGUCCGCAUCUCAUGGUUGGGACGGACCUUAUCUACCUGAGCAUUCUGAUCGAUGAUAUGAUGUGAAGGCAUAACUGUGUUUUUGAAAUACAAGAGAUCAUUGUUUAGGGGACAGCUUAGACUCUAAAGCACGAACUAAAUCACAAAGAAGGGAAACAUUUCUUAAACGCCUAGCAACCUCUUAAUUAUAAGUGUAGAGUGCUACACACCCAUAAAUAGGACUCUACCCAAUGUGAUUUCAUAGAAACCUUGGGACCAUGAACCGUACUUUGAUAUCAAGUUUGUCACGACCUGAACUGGGGCCCUGGCCGUGAAGAGUAUUCCAAACCAUGAGGCCCAAAAGACCCCUAUCUAUCUGGUAAAUAUGCACACAAUUCAUAUGAUAAAAGAAAUGCGAAAGAUACAUAAUAUAACGGAAACAUAUUCAAGAAUCAUGCGAAAGUAAUAAUGGGGAAUAAUGUCCCACAAUCUCAACACAACAUCUCUAUAACGUCUGCGAAAUCUCUACUACAUGACUAAAAUAAAUGUCUAUCAGAAAACAGGGACAAGGCCCCCAGUAGACGCAAAACUAAUAAAUGAUAAAUUAAACUACAGACAUUAGGCCUUCCAAAAUAUAGAAGGCUCACCACUAGAUUCUGUGAUCUGUCGGAAGGAAUCUACUGGUUGUAUGGACCCCUAGACUAUGCCUCCAAACCUGGGAGGAGAGGGGGUCAAUACAAAAGUACUGGUACGCAGAGAAAUUAAAAAAGAAAUAUAAUAUUUUUACACAAUAUAGGUGAGAGCCAUUAUAAAGCAGUUUCAUAUCAAAUUAUUUGAAAACAUAUGGGUAUAAUGUAAUAGCUUUCAAUACCAAUGUAAUGCGAUUGAGCUAGGUGGAAUACCCUACAAUUGUAAUUCCACAGCUAUGUGAAAUCCGCCUCUGGUGCUCGGCGGCCAAGCCUCCAAUCCAAGUAGCCGCCAGGAUUUGGAGCCGGUAUACCUCCUAUGUGAGUACACCACAGGGAACCCUAUGUGAGAUGUUCUAAUUAUUUUAUUAUCCUCCCAUGUAGGAUACAAUAUCAUAUGACUCGCAUCAGCAACUACAGUUUCCAGCGAUGAGCCCUUUUACUCAAACACCUUCUUCGAGCAUCCACCUUUCUCAUGAAAAUCAAUGUAUUCAAACUUUUUUCAAAUCAAUCACAUGUCAUACUCUAUAGGGUAUCAUCACACCCGACUUUCAAGUCAUAAGUAUCAUACCAUUCUCUUUAUUCAAUCAUCAUAUGCAACAUAUUUCAACAUAAAUAAAACAACCCUUUCUUUGAAAGUCAAAAACCAUAUCCAAAUUAUGACAUUUUAAAGAUAUUUCAUGACAUACAUUUCAAGAUGAUUUCAAACGAUUCAUAUCAUGUGAAAACUUAAAAUAAUAUCAUAUCAAGAGAGAGGUUCCGUGUAAAUAAUGCUCUCAAUUUAUCAUCAUUAUGAAACACAUGCAUAUCCAUAUAUAAUAUAUCAAAUCACAUUGGAUUUAGGCCUAAAGACCAAAUCAAUAUCAUAAAAAAUUUAAAACAUAAUCAUAUUUGUAAUUUCAAAACCCCCAUUUUGAAAACAUGAAUUUUUAAAGCCCAUGAGAUUUUUAAGAUAACCCCACGUACCUCUAUAUGCGAAGAUUAUAGGUGCUUCUUAAAGUCUACGAUUUGGGGAUUCCAAAUAUGCAAUUAGUUUCUAAAACCCCCGGUUGAAUCUUGAGUUGCUUGGAUUUUUAUUUUGAAACCCUAUCGAGAAUCCUUGAGAACUUUUGAUGAUUGAAGGUGUAUUUUGGGGUCUUUGGAGUUGAAUUUCGUGUUUACGGCUAAGUAAGGGUGGAAAAGGACCAUUUUCCCCCAAAAAUGGAGUGUUUAAGUCACUUGAAAUAUUUAUAUUGGCCCCGCCUAUGCCAUCGCCUAUGUUUACAUUCGCGCUGCCUAGGCUAUUGCCUAUGUUUACAUUGGCGCCACCUAGGCUAUCGCCUAUAUUUACAUAGGCGCCACCUAUGCUAUCGCCUAUGCUUUUCAGUGGCCAUGUGCGAUUGGUUAGGCGACACAUAUUACUUUGACAGGCCAUAACUUCUUGCUCGGGUGCCAGAUUUUAGCAAAAUUGGUAUCAUUGGAAAGCUAACUCGGAAACCUAUCAUUUUACACAUAGUAGGAUUUCAAAUUCAAUAUAUACAAAUAGUCAUGGUCAAUAGAAGUUGACACAAAUUAUAAUGUCUACUUAAGCUUAAUCGGUCAAAGUAGUUUUCAACUCGUCCUUGAGUCAAAUAACCCCUAAGGUCUAAAUUCAAUCUUGAAUGGAUUCACAUGAUACACAAAUAAUUAACAUGUCGUAUUGGCAUAGGAUUUAUGGUUUCGGGAUUUAUCAACAUAUGGAAUCAUGAUCUAUAUUGUAGCCUGAAAUGCGGGGCAUUACAGAUCGAUAUAUGGACAGAUCAAUUGUCGAUCUAGUUGAUUGAUUAUCGAUUCGACUGACACAUGGACUGAUCGAUUAUCGAUCCAAUCGAUAUAUGGAAAAAUUGACUAUCCAUCCAAAUGAUAUAUGGAAAGAUAAAUUAUUUAUCCGAUCGAUUACAUAUGUAUACACAACCCUUUUUCUUUAUUAAAAAAUAGACUAAAAUUAAAGGAGAGUACAAAACUUACAAAUUUGAGAGGAUACAAAACAUUUAAGAAUAACAUACUAUCUUCAAAAAGGAGAAAGUUGAAGAAACAAUGAGAUUUUAGUAAGAAUUAAGGAGGAAAAAGUUAAGAGAGGGAAAAAAGUGAAUUGAAACUGAAAAAAUGAGUUAGGGUCUUAUGUUUUAAGUAUAUUUAUAAAUAGGUCCCUUAAUUUUUAAUAUGUUAUUAUAGCCUAAUUCUUCCUUAAAGUUAGUUUUUUCUUUUGUUUAAAAUGAAAAAAAUGAAAGUAAGACCAUUUUCUCGUCCAAGAACAUGAUUUGUACAAAAGGUUAAGUGUAAGACCUAAAGGGAAGAGAUAUACCAAAAGGUUCAUUCAUGGCAUUCAUGGUAAUGCGAGACAAGAAGAAUCUUCACUUUACACUUCAAUUUCACUAAAUUUAAAUUGGAAUUCAAAUACAAAAGUUUUCCCCAAUUUCUAGGGUUCACCAAAUCUCUAAUUUUUACGUUCAAGUUUCAAUGAUAAUGUCAAAGAGAAAAAAAUUUGAGUCUUAUAAGGGAAUUGGGUUGCCAAUUUACAGAAUUGCCCCUGAGUAAAAAUUCUGCUAAGCCGCGAUUGUUGUUGCUUUUCCACAACCAUGGUCAGCUAUGACGGUCGCGGUCCUCUGACCAAGCUUGACUGACCGCGAUCGCGGUAACUAAAACCAAAUUCUACUCCAGGGCUUCCAGUUGCACUUCUCUUCUCUUUUUGAUCCUUUUCAGCUCAAAUCCACAUCUUUCUUUCUUAUCAGCUGUAAGCCUGCAAAAUGUGGAAAUUAGUGCAUUCAAGGACAAAUUUGCCUCAUUCACACGUUCCAAUCAUAGUAAUGUGCACAAAAUUUAUAUGUAAAUGAGUGGUAAAUUCACCACUCAUCAACACCCCCAACAUAAAUCUUUGGUUGUCCUCAAGUAAUCACUACCUCUUUAUUCAAUAAGAUAAUACAACUUUAAGCCCACUUAUACACCCCAAUGAUCACAAUAGCUUCAAACUUGAUUGCUACCACAAGUAACUCUUCAAACAUGGGUAAAACUAUUCUCACAACACCCCUUAACCAUUAAAUACAAACUCAGGGAUGCAACUGACUCUAAAAAGCAACUAUGCAACCAUCAUUAACACUCUAAAAGUGACUCUCUAUUGACCUCAACUCCACUAUACUUCUUUUGACUCAUCAUUUAGAAGAUAGCAAUGUCACCCACCUCAAGUUGUUCACAUGUCUCCUCACAAGAAGGAUAUCCCACACACACCAAAUUAUCUAGUGUACAACAAAGGGGAUUCAAGUGCAUGACUGUCUCUCUCACACAAAGGGUCUUGAUGCUAACAAGUACCAUGCCAUAGGCUGGCCCUUAUUUUCAAUCACCACUACAAUAAAUACACUUGAUUGGAGAUCUCGAAGAUCUUUUUAGGCUUGUAAUGUAGGUUCGGGGAAGGGUAGGAUAACAAUUAGGAAAAAAAUGGCUUAACCCUUCUUGAAUAUCCACAUCACACUAUUUCAAAAAACUUGUGACCAUGUACCACUUUAUUUGUUUUCACACUAUGCACAUGCCUAAUCUAGGGGCCUUAAUUUUCCCAACUUUUUUAGGGCAUCUUUCUUUUGCAUAUUUAUUUUACAAUCUAUGCCUUAUUCUUCUUUUAAUCAUUCCUUUUUUGACUUUUUGAUUGUUUGGCUCAAAGGCAUCCAUUUACUUUACCAUGGCCCAAAGUCAACUCUUUCAAAAUUACCACACCCAACUUAGGCAUUUAGCCUUAAUUUUCAUUUUUCAUCUUCAAGAAGGGUUGGGUUCAAGAGAGGGACAAAUUUUUAAAUGGUAUAAGGCUUGUAUCGUGGUUUCCAAAUAAAGGCUUGAAGGCUUGAAUUGGGGAACUAAGGGUCCUAUUCAAUGCAUGGGUAGGAUAUUUAGGCUUAGAGUGGGUUUCUAUUUCACAAAGAAGGUGUAGGAUCAUUUCACCAACCAAGUGUAAUUCAAAAUUAGUCUUGAUAGACCAAUAGGGCAAGUUCUAGAUGGUACAAGUAUGCAUGAGAUUUAGUCAAAUAAGCUCACUGCACAUGGCAUGCCAACUCUUUAAAAAGGCUUAAUUGACCUUCGUAAUAGAGACAAAAUAAAAUAUCUACCGACUUAUACAUGCCACAAUUUUAUAGUCACAAAGAGAGUUAAAGUAUUGUUACAAGAUAGCUCACAUUCAUGUCCUUGAUUUUUGAAAAAAUUUGGAUGAAGGAAGAUGUUUGCUUCGUAUUUACACCACACACAAUUGGGCUAUAGGUACUUAGAAGGGGGGCUACUCAAACUUGACCAUAGGUAUAAAUGUGAUCCCUAAAUUCAAAAUGCUAUGGGUACUCAGACUACCCCUACAUUUAUAGCUCCGAUGCUAUAGGUACUCAGACUUUCCUUGCAUCCAUGGCUCAAAACCCAAUCACAAUGAUUUUACCUUAAGAGCGUCAUCACUCAAUCUUUUAUUAGGAAUGGUUUAUCCGAUGUAAAUCAUAAGAGGCACAAUAAUCUCUAUGAUUUAGAGCGAGGCAUGAGUAUCCCCACACCCCCAACUUAAGGAGUUGGAGUGUCCUCACUACAACAACUAAAAAAGUACAAGGGUUAAGAGGGACUCCCUUAAGAAUCAAAAUAAAAAUCCUUAGAAAACUGCAAUCGUGAUAGGAUGAGUCGCGAUCAUAAGACCGCAAUCAUGGGUCCAUGACCGCGAUCUUGGGUCAGGUCUAUGACCACGAUCGCGGUAACUAAGGCUGAUUUCCCCUAUUUUUGCUCUAUUUUCCUGCAUAUCAGCCUUUUUUAGCUCUAUUUUCUCCUAAUUUUCUAGACUACUAGCUCAUGGUAAAACACCUACAAAACAUCAAAAGGCAAGCAAAAUUUAGUUAAGGAUGGGUUGUCUCCCAUCAAGCGCCUAGUUUAACGUCGCGACAUGAUUUUCCUCUUUCACCAUGUAGCAUCUUUGAAAUAUAUAAGCUCUACCUUGGCCACUCUAGGACCAUUCAUAUUAUAAUGCUUCACCUUUGUCCAUCACUAAAAACUUCUUUUUUACUUGAUCUACCAAUUCAAUGGCACCACUAGGGUAAACAUUAGAAAUCACAAAGGUUCCCGACCAUUUCGAUAGAAGCUUUCCCAUAAAUAGUUUCAAAUGGGGGUUGAAAGAGAGAACACUCUCGCUGACAUAGAAUUCUCACCUUAGUAUUUUGGCGUCAUGCCAUUUCUUCAUUUUCUCCUUCUACAAAGCGGAGCUCUCAUAACUUUGAGUUAGAAAUCCUCCAACUCAUGGAGUUUAGAGACUCUUGACUCUAAAUCUUUUACCUAAUCCAUGUUUAACCUUAUCAAGGCCCACAUGGUUUUAUGCUCAAGAUCCACGGGCAAGUGACAUGCUUUUCCAAACACCAAUUUAUAGGAAGACAUACCAAUUGGGGUUUUAAAAUUUUUCCUAUACCUGCAAAGUACCUCAUCAAGCUGCCUCACCGAAUUGGUUUAGUCUACAGUCACAGUCUUUUCAAGUAUGGCUUUGAUUUCUCUAUUGAAACUCUACUUGCACACUUGUUUGGGGGUGACAUGGAGUAGUCACCUUGUGAUUCACCCUAUAUUUGUCAAGGAUAACCUUAAAUACCUAAUUGCUAAAGUGUGAGCCUCCAUCACUAAUAAUGGCUCACAUGUUCCGAACCGCGUGAAAAUGUAUCUCUUUAAAAUGAAAGUGAUGCUUUUGCUAUCAUUAUUUGGAAGUACCAUAGCUUCUACCUAUUUGGAAAUAUAUUCAACCACCACCAAUAUAUAUUUGUUUUCAAAUAUGCUCACAAAAGGGCCAAUAAAGUCGAUUCCCCACACAUCAAAGAGUUCAACUUCAAGAUUUGGUCUAAGGGGCAUUUCAUGUCUUCUCAAGAUUCCACCUCGAAUUUGGCAUUAAUGGUAUGCCUUUACCCACUCAAUGACAUCUUUAUGAAUGGUGGGCCAAUAAUACCCAUAUUGAAGAAUUUUGGCGGCGGUUUAGAUUCCCCCAUGGUGGUGAAGAGUGACAUGCUUCAAGGAUAUCCUUUAUUUCAAAUUCCAUUCCACAACGCAUAAUUAAAACCAUCCGCACACUCACAAAAUGGAAGGGUUCAUCCUAAAAAUUUCUCUUAGAAUCGAACAAUUAUGAUAAUUAAACCCCUCGGGAAGUAUACCACUUAACACAUAAUUAGCAUAGUCAGCAUACCAUGGUGCGCCUUUUCUCGAUAUUGACAUCACCAAUUCAUUGGGAAAAGCAUCGUUAAUCUCAAUUUCUCUAUGCUUUUUCUUAUUGUUCUCAAGACAAGAAAGAUAGUCAACUACUUGGUUUUUGCACCCCUUUCUGUCCAUCACUUCAAAAUUAAAUUCUUGCAAGAACAAUAUCCAUCUAAUUAGAUUCGGCUUAGCUUCCUUAUUUUAUAUAAGGUAUGUAAGAGCGGCAUGAUCUAUGUGCACCACCGCUUUCAUUCCUAACAAGUAGGUGCGAAAUUUCUCAAAAACGUAUGCCACUGCCAAUAAUUCUUUCUCAGUAAUGGUGUAGUUAUGUUGAGCAUCAUUCAAGAUCUUACUUGAAUAAUAGAUGGAGUGAAAUAGCUUUUCCUUGCGUUGCCCCAAUACCGCUCCCAAUGCAAUCCAACUUGCAUCGUACAUUACUUCAAAUGGGGAUGACCAAUCUGGAACCAGAAUAAUGAGAGCCGAGAUAAGAAACUCCUUGAGGCAAUUAAAGGAAUUCAAGCAUGCCUCACCAAAAUAGAAUUUGCCUCCUUUUCAAAAAGCUUGCACAUUAGAUGAGCUAUUGUGGAGAAAUCUUUAAUGAAUUACCGGUAGAACUUGGAAUGCCCAAGGAAACUCCAGACAUCCUUUAUGAAAAUGAGGGUGGAAACUUGGCUAAUACCUCUACCUCAGCUUGAUCAACUUUAUUCGCUUCCCUGAAUUUUGUGGCUCAACACAAUACCCUCAUUGACCAUGAAAUGACAUUUCUCUCAAUUUGGGACAAGAUUGGUUUCUACACAACUCUCAAGUACCUUGAUUAUAUGCUCAAGACAUGAUUCAAAGGAGUUUCUUACCACUGAUAAAUCAUCCAUGAAGACUUUCAUUGACUCUUCAACUAUAUCUGCAAAAUUUGAUAGCAUACAACAUUGAAAAGUUGUCAGCGCAUUGCAAAAACCAAAUGGCAUUCACUUGAAUGUGAAUGUGCCAUAGGGGAAAGUAAAAGUUGUUUUCUCUUGGUCCUCUGGGGUGAUACAAAUUUUAUUGUACCCUGAAUAACCAUCUAGAAAUCAAUACCACCCUCGCCCGGCUAGCCUAUCUAGAAUUAGGUCCAUAAGGGCAUAGGGAAAUGGUCUUUUUCGAUUCAAGAGUUCAACUUCCGGUAGUCCAUGGAUACCCGUUAUCCCAUGACCGAUCAUAUGGGGAUAAGGUCGUUCUUCUCAUUCUCAACUACUAUUAUUCCAUCUUUUUUUUGGAACACAUAGCACCAGGCUCACCCAAGUGUUAUUAAAGAUUUGAUAGAUGACUCCAACGUCAACCCACUUUAUACUUUCCUUAUUCUCCACUUCUUGCAUGGGUUGAUUUAGCCUCCUUUGAUAUUCCACACUUGGUAUAUGAUUUUUUUCUAGAUUGAUCUUGUGGGAACAAAUGUCGCGGGAUAUUCUUAUGAUGUCCACAAUUGUCCAUCCGAUGGCUCGAAUGAACCUUUUUACUCCUAGCUUUAAAGCUUCCACUUGAUAGGUUUCAAGAUCAAAUGCAAUGAUGAUAGGUAAACUAUAUCCAUCCCCCAAGAGCAUAUAUUAAAGAUGAUGUGGAAACGACUUCUAUUCAAUUUUGGAUGGCUCAAGGAUGGAUGGUUUUAUGGACGGGCUCUCACAGUUUUUAAGAUCAAUGUCCAACUUUACCAAGUUCUUGGUAUAAUAUCCAAUUCCUGUUAAAGAUGCAACAACUUCAUCAAAAUCAUCAAUUUCUUCUCUUUCACAAUUCCACAAAACCCCCCACCAACAGAUCAUCCACCAAACUUGCAUUGACAUAAUUUAUCACCUUACCAUCAAUUGUAUUAAUCAUUGAUACUACUUGUAAGUCUAUUGGUUUCUUCAUGGACUUGCAUACAUUGAAAUAAACUUCUUUAUUAUUUAGGUGAAACUUCAUUUCACUGCCUUCUACAUCGACCAAAGCAUUCCCAGUGGCUAAGAAUAGCCUUUCGAGAAUAAUAGGAAUUUCAUGGUCUAAAACAUAAUCAAUGAUCACAAAGUUGGCCAAAAACAUAAAUUGAUCGACUUUAACUAGCAUAUCAUGAAGUAUUACCAUAGGUUUCUUAAUAGAUCGGUCGUACAUGAGCAAUCUCAUUGUGGUGGGUUGCGGUUUCCCCAAUCCAAGCUUGAGGAAAAUGGCAUAUGGCCUUAAAUUUACACUUUCUACAAGGUCACACAAGGCUUUUGCAAACUUGAACACUCCGAUUGUACAUGGAAUUAUGAAAGCAUCGGGGUAUCUCUUCUUUCUUUCCAUCAUUCUUGAUAUAAUGGCACUUCAAUGAUGUGUUACUUCUACAAUCUCAUUUUCCCCAAGCCGCUUCUUGGACACCAACUCAUUCAUAAAUUUAGCAUAUCCUGGCAUAUCUUGUAAUGCUUCUAUUAAAGAAAUGUUGAUAGAGAGGUUGCUAAAUUUAUCAAGGAAUUUUUUUAACAUAGCAUUUUCCCCAUUUUUCAAAACUCAUUGAGGAAAGGAGGGAGGGAUUGUGAUGGGUGGCAUUGAGACAAUUUGACAUUCAUUCCUCUUUGGCCUUGAUUCUUCAUUAUUCAACCUCUUUCUCUUCACAUUUGUUUGCUUAUUUUUUUCCUUUGCCGAGACCAUCAUUAAAUGCCAUGCCUUUGCCAAGAAUUUUUUCACUUCGGUUGACAAUAGCAUUUAUGGCCAUACCACUCAAUACUUUUUAUUUUUUCAUUCCAUGGGGUGUAUCGAUAUUUGAUUCAAUUUUUCUUCUAGUUGUUGGAUGGCGGUUGAAUAGGACUCUACCAUUCAAUGAAGCUUGAAGAAUUCAUCCCUCAUUUCUUUUACUAUCUUGUCGAUCCCUUUAACUCCAAUCAAGAUUCAAAUCAAAAUAUCUUCAAUAAUGCAUCCCUCUUUUUCACAUUGAGAUAUUCUCUGAUUUUUAUUGUUCCGACCUUGAUUCCCACAUUUCCCUUGAGAGGUAAUGUAGAAACCCUUCAAAUAAUUUGACAACCAUCCUCUACCAUCAUCAAGUCAUUUUUAUUUCUUAUCUUCAAAAGCCUUGGUAUCUUUUGUAUCUAUAACAUUGACUCUUUCAAUGGGUAUCUCCAACACAUGUUUAGUAAAAAGUUCAAGGUGUUCCGUUAUCUUGAUCAUGCUUGAAUCUCUUGCCUCUUCUUGACAUCUUUGAUAUUUACUCACAAAGGAUGAGGAGGGAUCCCCCACAGUUACCUCAUCAUCCUUCAUGUGCCAACCCCAAGCCAAACUAGUCACUUGGUCUAACACCUUUGAUGCAACCCCAUAUGAUAAUUUAACAAGGGACCCACCGGAUGCAUUGUCCACUAUGGCUUUGUUGGUUUUGUCCAAUGCCCUAUAGAAAACUUGAAGAAUCAUAUUUUUUGGCAUCUCCUGACUAGGACAUUUCAAGAGCUUCUUCUUAAAUCUCCCCCAUGCUUCAUACCAUAGAUCCUCAUAAAAUUAAUGAAAGUUCAUAAUUUCGUCCCUCAAUAUUAGCAUCUUGGAUGGUGGGAAGUACUGAUUCAAGAAUGAAUCCAUAAGUGUGGCUCACGAAGUUAUUAACCCAACCAGAAGAGACCGAAGCCACAAUAUUGCCUUACCCAUUAGGGAAAAUGGGGAGAGAAGCAACCUUAAGGAUUCUUGUGAUAUGUGGGUGAUGUCAAAGGGGGUAUAAACUUCUACGACGUUCUUCAAAUGCAAGUUGGGGUUCUCAUGUUCUUCCCCCUCCCCCCUGAAGAUACCCUUCAUGUGAAGCAAUUAAAGCAUAACGCUUGUGAUAUAAAAUACACCAUUUCCCUCAGAAGGAGGAAUAUGAAUAUCACUAGCAUAUUCUUUGUCACAAAGGUAAUCCAUUACUAUAAUAUGUUCAAGUAUGGAUUGCCAAUGAUUCCCUCUUGACUCAUGGCUGUGUGAAGGAAAUAAUGAUCACCUACAAAGAAAAAAAAUGACAAACAAAGUAAAUCAAAAUCACCAUGGGUAUACCCAAAACCACAAUCAACACCAUACAAGUGAAAGCUACAUCUCACUCACCUAUACAAUAUAAAUUAGUGGAGGACAAUCGUUGUCAAUAUCUUAACUUAUGUUGAAGUCGAAUACACAAGGAGUGAGAUUACUCUUCAAGACUUGAGGGUGUCAAUGAUUUCUAAGGAUAUACUCGAAGUAAAAGCAAAAUAAAUACAUAAUUUAAAUGGGGGGGGGGGGGGGGGUGUUUUAAUCAAGAUUGUAUCAAUGUUUACUCAAGUCAACAUCCUAAAGCAACACAUACAAUUUUAAAUACAAGGUUAGAAGGAUCUUGGGAUUAUGUCUACCUAAGGGAAAAAUAUACACGAGACCAUGAUGUUUUAGUGCAAAUUCUAGUCAUCGACAAUAAGGUAGGCUAGGUUGAAAAUCCUUGAGGUUAGUUUGUCAAAAAAGCCUCAAGGCUAUCACUCAUUAACCUUUUCGAUUACCUAAUGCGUAUGUCAAUCAAAUCCACCCAACAUCUUAAUUAGGCAUCCUUAUUUCUAGGAAGAUCCCAAUACAUAGCCAACUCUGUAAUUACCCUUAUUUGUAAGAUGGGAAAAAAAAUAGCAAACUACAUCUACUAUUAUCCACUAUUACUUUGUUCCCCAUAUCCAUCUUUCAAGGAUGCCAUGGGUUCCAAAAGUUCACCCACAUCCCUUUUUCAAGGAUGAUAUGAGCUUUUAAGAGUUUGGGGUUUCCACCCACAAACCCAUUUUUGGAAAUUGGAGUUUUCACCCACAAAUCCAACUAAUUAAACCAAGAAAUAGUGAAACUCAUCGUCAACAAGAUAGAAUUCACACAAAUACAUCAAACCCACACAUAUUUGCACCUUAGUUAAAAAUAAUCCCAAGACAAAAGAGUUUAGCUACUCAUAAAGCUAAAGAGAAGAGAUAUACCAAACGUUUCAUUCAUGGCAUCCAUGGUAAUGGGAGACAAGAAGAAUCUUCACUUUACACUUCAAUUUCACCAAAUUCAUAUUUUAAUUCAAAUAUAAAAGUUUUCCCCAAUUUUUAGGGUUUUCCAAAUCUCUAAUUUUUAAUUUCAAGUUUCAAUGAUAAUGUCAAAGGGAAAAAGAUUUUAGCCUUAUAAGGGAAUUGGGUUCAGUUAUGCCAAUUUAUUGAAUCCCCUCGGGUAAAAAUCCCUCUAAGCCGUGAUUGCUGUAGCUUUUUCACAACCACGGUCAGUUAUCGCUAUUACGGUCCUCUGACCAAGCUUGAUUGAUUGCGAUCUUGGUCCGCAGGCCGCAAUUAUGGUAAUCGAGACCAAAUUCUGCUCCAGGUCUUCCAAUUGCACUUAUCUUCUCUUUUUUAUCCUUUUAACUCAAAUUCACAUCUUUCUUUAUUAUCACCUGUAAACCUACAAAAUGUGGAAAUUAGUGCAUUCGAUCACAAAUUUGCCUCAUUCACAUGUUCCAAUUGUAGUAAUGUGAAUGAAUUUUGGAUGUAAAUAAGUGGUAAAUUCUCCACUUAUAUAUCACGACCCAAAACUAAGGGUCAUGAUGGAACUUGUCGCGGCGUACCUUGACAAGUAAGCCUAUCAUCUAAACUUAUACAAAAAGGAAAAAAAAAGAUAGAAAUACCAAAGGUAAGGCUUCUAGAACGAAGCCAAAUUUUACAAGUAAUCAUAACAAGGCAGAAAGAACUUACCCAAAAUACAAUCAUGCCCAAAACAAGGUGUCAAAUAGUGUAAGAACUACUAAUACAAUACGAGAGUCAAAUACAUCAGAAAAAUAACCACAAAGAAUAAUGUAUUUGUCUCUGAAUACUAAUAAGGACAUAACUACCAUAUAAAUAUAAAGGUGAACUUCGGAUGCAUGAACGUCCCAUUGCUACCUUGGAAGCUCCAACAAUCGCCCGAGUCAAGUAAGCUGAGGCGCACUCGAGCUAGGACCUGCACCGAAAGGGCGCAGUAGGCAUUAGUACGGUCUACUUGUACUCAGUAGGUAUCAUAAGUUGACCAAGCAUAGUAGUAAAUAAAGCAUACAAAAUAUACACUAAGAGCACGUCACUUUCAAUCAAAAAAAUAUCCCACAACGGUAGCCCACACCGCAUACACUAUAGUUCUAAUAUAUUACUUAUAUUGCAACAUCACAAUAAGAUAGAACACAAGUAUGCAUUAUAUCACAUAUAAGUAGAACAAGAGGGACAUACAUAUACAAGAUCAACAAAUAUAAGUAAAAGAAGAUAAGAUAAUUACAUAAAUGGCAAGUCAAUAUGGAAAUACAACACAAUAUAAACAUAAUAAAGCAAGUGCAAUUUAUAUGAUAAUGAUGAUGACACACGAGGUUAUCGCAUAACCUCCGGGGUAGUCACACAAUCCUCGUAUGAACCUACGGAGGGAAGCCUCCUAACGCAGGACCCAUGGAAGGUUCGUCAACCCAUAUACAAUUCACAUAUAUCAUUUUUUUGGUACAUCCCUCAAAAAGGUAUUGUCAGGUGUUGCUGGUAUUUCUCAGAUGUUGCCAUGAUGGUACCAAUAUUUCAUGAAUGAGUAUGAUAUGAAGAUGUAAUGCUCAUAACCAAUCACAAUGAGUAUUUCAACAACCAACCACAUGAUAUAUUUCCAUAACUAGCCACAUGAUAUAUUUCCACAACCAACAGCAAUGAUACAUUUCCACAACCAUGUGAACAAAUAUCCACUUAUUAUUUUGUUUUAUCCAUGAAUUUCCACAUGUCUCAUAUGCCAGUAAAGUAUGAAUAUAAUCACAAUAUACCAAUGAUACCAAAUUAAGUAUUUUAACAAUACAAUACAAUUAUUCACAUGGAUUUAAGACCAUCAAUAUCAUAUAGGACCCCACACGGUCAUACAUAUUACAUAAUAUCUCAAUUUCAUCAAUUACAUCACAUAUAGGCCCCCACACGGGCACAACACAUAGAUAUAUAUUUUCAUGAUUAGUUGUCACCCUUAACAUGCAUUUUGUCCUAUUAUUUACUAACUAGCCCAGUCUGAAAGAGUUAAGCCAUAACCUACCUCAAAAGUCGAAACCGAUCUGCUAGACUUUGAACUCGCGACCUUACUUUUCACGAAUGAUACCAAACUCCACAAAAAACAUAAAAUAUGGAAUUUAUACAUCAAAACAAAACCAAUGACUUUCAUAUUGACUAUUUUUCAUUCGGGGUCAAAAUAGACCCCGAAAACGGGUUUUAAAAAAAAAAGGGCAAAAUUAUAAAUUUAAUUUAAAAAUGUGUUUCCCAUAUUUUUAGGAAUAUACAAAUGAAAACCCAAGUCAAAUAGAAUAAAAAAUGAGGUUCAAAUCGAAGAAAAACUAUUUUUAAGCUUUACUGGAUAAAAUCUUUGAAAUCCAGGUUAAGAUCAAGAAUCGAAGUAGUUUUAAAUGUUAAAUUGAUGAAAACUAGUAAUUAUAAGAUAAAAACAUUGUUCAAGUAAAAAGGAGUGAAAUUUGGGUUAAAAAUCAAGCCCUAAGAUUUUUGGGGUUUUGAGAAAUUAACCAAGAAAUUACUAAGGAAAGGGUGAAUUCUUACCUUAAAAUCCAUAAUAGAAUCAAGAAAUAGAUGUUAAUCAAGCUAUCUAAGCUCCCACAAGUUUUACUUUUAAGAUCUCACACUAUUUUGGAUUUAACUCCCAAGAGGCAAGAUGAAAAAUGAGUAAAAUAGGCCAAAAACUGCUAGUUAUUAUUGCAGAUUUUUCUGCACGAAAGCUGGUUUCUUUUAAAGUCAAUUCGGACUUUGACGAGGUGUUGGAGAUUCGUUCAGAGUCUGAUAUACACAAAUAAACUAUGCGACCACACUAAAUCCGAUGUUCUGGACAUGUUGGGGAAGUCAGAUUUUCAAAAAAACAUCAUUUUUAUAAAAUUGAGCCUAAAACCCGAAAUCACAAUUUUUCAAAUUGAGGGUCAAAAUGAGAUUUAAAAUCCAUAAAAUCACACAAAAAUGUUACCGCCCUAAAAUCGACAUUGCAGAUCUACUGGCGAAGCCAGAUUUUCCAUUCAAGCUCAUUUCUAUCAAAAGUUGGUCCCACAUCCAUAUUUUUAAUUUCCCAACUUACUGACCAAUAGGUUGAAAUAAGCUCGGGUGUACCAGGACCUGAACCAAAGGUCUAUCUAGCCUAAAAUCAAUAUUCCGGAGCUGUUGGCAUUGUCCGUUCAGCCAUCCAUCACACGGAUCAAAAUAUAUCCAUAUAAGUCCAAAAUAACGCUCUCGAAGCCAUCAAAAACACAAUAUCACAUAAAUGGUACCAAAAUACAUCAGAAACCAUGCCAAUCGCCCCCACACCCCAGAAAUACCAUAAUGAAACUAUGGGGAGGGGUAACAUAAUCAAAUCACAUAAUCACAAAUUUUCACAUUUUUCAUUAAAUAUUCAGGUCAUUACAUCAUCAUACCUCAAGAUACCAUCACAACCGAUCUCAAAGGCCAUGACCUUUUCCUUACCCACAGUAUCCUUGAUCUUCAUCAAGAGAGGGUCUAAUACCUUUUUCUCCUUUAUUUCAGAACCAAGAGAUGAUUGCUCUACCUGUUGCACAAACGUACCACCAUCCUCAAAGUCUAAGAGACGAACUCUAAGGUUAGACAAAUGGUGAAUAUAUUUUACCAAUUCCCGCUUAUCCUUAUCCACAUGCGACAAGCUUCCCAUCGACAUCCUGCUACGAGCAUCAACAAACAUGUUAGCUUUACCUGGAUGGUAAUAAAGACUCAUAUCAUAAUUUUUCAACAACUCAAGCCACCUCUUUUGCUUGAGAUUAAGCUCUUUCUGGGUGAACUCACAUCAUUCUUGAAAAAAGGGUGUGGGUGAACUUUUGGAAACUAUGGAAUCCUUGAAAGAGGCAGAUAGGGUACAAACCAAUAGUGGACAAUAUUAGAUGUAGUUUGCUAUCUUUUUUCCAUCUCAGAAAUAAGGGUAAUUAAAGAGUUGGCUAUGUCUUGGGCAUCUUCCUAGAAAUAGGGAUGCCCAAUUAAGGUGUUGGGUGGCUUUGGUUAACACACGCGUUAGGUACUUGAAAGGUUUAAUUAGCGAUAUCGUUGAGGCUUUGUUGACAAACUAACCUCAAGGAUUUUCAACCUAGCCCACCCUAUCGUCAAUGACUAGAACUUGCAUUAAAACAUCAUGGUCUCGUGCAUAUUUUACCCUUAGGUAGACAUAAUCUGAAGAUCCUUCUAACCUUGAAUUUCAAAUUGCAAGCAUCGCUUUAGUUUGUUAACUUGAGUAAAUAUUGACACAAUCUUGGUUAAACAAACAACCCCCCAUUUAAAUCAUGUAUUUUAUUUUGCUUUCACUUCGAUUAUAUCUUUAGAUAUCAUUGGCACUCUCAAUUCUUGAAGACUAGUCUCACUCCUUGUGGAUAUUACCUCAACAUAAGUUGAGCUAUUGAUAACGAUCAUUGAUGUUGCCCAAAACUACACCUCAAUUGAAAGUAUAAUGUUCUCGAUGAAAAUAUAAUAAUCCAACUAGGUUGGGGUCGAUCCCACCGAGAAAAUGUGAGAAGUUUCUUGCCAUGAUUUAAUCCUCGAGCAGUGCAGGAAAGUAAAUGGGGUUUUUUUUUAUCAAUAACAAAGAUUAACCAAUUCUUGAGUGCUUUUGAGUUGUAAUCAAUAAGAGAUGAAUGCUAGAUUUGUGUUCCCCCUGGUUUCUCAACUUCGUACAUUUCUCGCGAUCAACCCACUGCUCUAUUAUUCUGCAUGUAAAUCCUACAAGAUAGGUAUUAUCAGCCGCCUUUUGAGCGCGAAGAUAAGUUUCACCCUUUGACUUGGUUAUUGUACCGGGUGUUGCCUUGUUGUCCCUUGCUACAACCUCAGUUCACUUGAUCCUUGGUUAUCAAAUCAAGUAAUAAGAUGGUAUGCGGGGACUACAAGGUGGAACUCCCAAAUUAAUAUCCUAAUCUUCUUUUCUUAAUCACAAGCUUCUUGGUUAUAAAAAAUACGAAUACACCUGCAAUCGGAUGGGCAAGCAUGAAGAACUAUUUAGACUUUAGAAGAUAUGCUGUGAGCCUGUGUAAUUGACUUUGGUGGUAGUUGGUUUGACCACUUACCUCUCAUUAAAUUUUCCUAUAAUAAUAGUUACCAUUCUAGCAUUGGUAUGGCCCUAUUUGAGGCAUUGUAUAGUAGGAGGUGUCCAUCUCUUGUUAGGUGGUUCGAGGUUGGUAAAGUGAAGAUGUUUGGCCUAAAUUUGGUUCACCAAGCCAUGGAGAAGGUGAAGGUAAUUCAGGAUAGGAUUAAGACUAUCCAAAGUUGCCAAAAGUCCUAUGCAAAUAUAAGGUGAAGGGACUUGGAAUUGAGGUUGGAGAUUAUGUGUUCUUAAAGGUGUCUCCCAUUAAGGAAGUAAAUCCAUUUACAAAGAAGGGGAAACUCCUCGGUAUGUGAGCCCAUACGUGGUUUUUAGAAGGGUUGGUAGUGUUGCAUAUGAGUUGGAUAUGCCCUCUCGUAUAAGUUCCAUUCAUUCGGUAUUCUAUGUAUCCAUGUUGGAAAAUGUGUAGGUGAUCCUUCAUUAGUUGUUCCCUUAGAGAACAUUGGUAUUUCAGAUUCCUUGUCAUAUAAGGAAGUCCUGAUGAGGAUCUUGGAUCAGCAAGUUUAUCAAUUGCAGAUAAAAGAUGUGGCUUUGAUAAAGGUUCUAUGCAGUACCAAAAGUUUGAGGAAGCUACUUGGGAAGUUGAAGAGGAUAUAAAGUCCAAGUAUCCGUUCCUAUUCCCUAUUCAGGAAAUUUAUGCUUGAGGUAUGUAUGUAUUCUAAACACCUUUGUUUUCUGACUUUGUUAAAGGAAAGAUUGAUUUCCUUGGCCUUGGCGUCUUUGUUUUGUAGCUUAGUUAAAGGUAAGAGUAGAGGUAUAAGGAGUAAAAUUGUGCUUGUGUUGCCUUGACCCAUUAUUUAAGGACGAAUGAUCCAGAAUGGGGGAGACUAAAACACUCCAAACUUUGGCCAUUAUAAAUUUCUUGGGUCUUAAACUUUCUGUUCAUCUUACGACUCACACCAUAAGUCAUAUGGUAUGGUGAAGGGUCUAGGGACCCUAGUCUAUAUUAGUCAUUUGUUGUUGGACAAGUUUUAUCCUGGUUAUGAAAGACUUCAUAUGAGUCGUAUGUUCAUAUGAUGAGAGGAUUAGGGUCUAAUUGUAUGUUGUACAGUGUUUAGCCCUUGGUGUUCUUCGUUGGAUAUGACUUGACCUUACUAGUCGUAUGGUCGGGGCAAAUGAGUCAUAAGUUGGAUACAGUACGGUGUACAACCUUCUGUUCUGGUGAUUACUCAAAUAUACCAAUCGUAUGUUGUAGUGAUGAGUUAGAGGGUCAACUCGUAACCACCUACGGGUUUCUACAACUUUAAGCUUGGGGUACUUUAGACAUUUCCUACCCCAAAACCUUUAAGACCCCAUGUCUUAUAACAUAAAUUGGGCAUUUAUUCUACACUUUGUAAGAUUAGAAAACUCUAACUCUCUCUAAAACCUCUCAAGAAAGAUUGGGCUAGGGUUUCUUCAAAGUGGUCAUCUAAGGACUUAAAGAUCAUAUUCUCUCCAUGAAUCUUCAUAACUCAGGCAUGUAACUCUUCUCUCAUUGUUAGUUCACUAAAACAACAUGUUUAAGGCAUUGUUCAUGAGUCAUUAAUGGUGCUUUUGAGAACCAUGGUUGAGGGUUUUAAUGUAUAAUGUUGAUUAUUGUUUUCUUAUGGUUUAAAUUAUGAUUUCACAUGUUUUGAUAAUGGUUUUGCACAUGUGGGUAUAUGGGAAUUGGGAUUUAACAAAUGGGUCAUGUUUAACACCAAAUUUGUUGGUCUUUGACUUUAUAAUAGUAUGCCCUCAACCUGUUUGUGAAAUUAUCAUUGAGAAUGAUCUUAUCAUAACUCUAAAUUGUGUUUUGAACUAAUUCUUGGCAUGAGAAUAUUAAUGAAGGAUGAAUGUCUUUGUAAAGGUCUUGAUGACCAUAUAUAGAAUUGAAUUAUGUUUUGUACUAAGUCAUUGGCCUAAGAAUAAUAAUGAUUGGUAAAUGGUUUUAUGAAGGCCUUGUUGGCCAUGCAUUGAUUUGAAAGACUAAAUGAGUUUGAAUGCCUAAAAUAUUGAAUUGACUUGAUGUAGUUGUUUAGACAAAGGGUUUGAGUCCCAAGUUGAUUAAUAAUGGUUAUGGUAUGUUCUACUCUUGCAAGUGGGGUUGGUAUGACGAUACCAUGCCUUUUCAAGCAAUUAGAUUAAUGGUUGUGAAUGUGAAAUGAAUAUUUUAAUUUGAUCUUUAAAGCGGGAUGUGUAUCUGGGCUGUAAAAGUAGAGUCUGAAGGACUAACAUUGGAAAUUGUGCUAGCCGGUAUGGGUGUCUAUAUGAUUGGGAGGUUUGAGUUCCCUGAAUGAAUAUAUGAAUGGGAGGUUUGAAUCCCCUAUAUUGUAUACAUUGGUGGUUAAGUCACCUUAAUUAUGCCGAGCGGUUCGAGUCCCCCAUAAAGGCAUAUACGGAUAAGGAUAUUCUCUGGUUUGUGUGGCUACACGCACUGGGGCCUUUCCAGCUAGGGGAGAGCUAGGCCCAUAUAGCUCAUGGGUGCCUUGUUAUAUGACAGUUAUGCUACAUAACUAAGUUUAUGAUUUUUUAUAAAUGCAUGCUAAACCUUGUUCCCUAUCUCGACAUAAUAUAUAUGUAUAUAUAUGAUUGCAUAUAGUUAUUUGACUUUGUUUUGAAUGAUCACAUUAUUUUAUUCCUCUAUCCCUGAGUUAUAUGAUAUCGCUCCAACCGCUAACCAUCUCCGAUCGCUGUAUCCCCACGUAAUGCAAGUACUAAAACUUUUUCUACUUUUUUUGUGUAGUGAUUGGGUGCUUGAGUUAGUUCAUGAGUUGACAUAGAAGUGGAGAGCAUCCAUACUUUGGAAGGCUCCAUUUUAUGGUCUUUGCCUCCUAUGUCUUAGACCUUAGUUAGACUUUGUUUUUGGCUACUAUCGGGGGAAUGUCUUGAUAUUUUAUUAAUUUUAGAUUUUGUAGAGGGUUUUUGCACUACUGUGGACUUUGUAGAUCACUUCAUUUAAUCAAUAAUAUUCUUAUCUUAGUCUCACUUAGAUUGGGAUGACUCAUGCAUCUUUGGAUGGAGGUCAAAGGCCUAUUCUAUCCCUCAUAUUGGCUACCUGUAUUUUAACAUAUGGAUGGGGAAAAAAGUAUAGUAGGGGCUGAGGCAGAGAAAGUGGUAUGGGUAUAUCUCAUGUAGUUGUUCAGACUCCUAUAAGGGAAGUGUUCCCUAAGGUAGAGUAUGAGGUUGCUGAUGUUUAGUUUUAGAUGGAGGAGGUGGGCCUAGUAUAAUAUCCAUUUAGUUUUGUUAUCUGGUGUUUUAGGAUGCAUUAUUUUUAGAUUUUGAGUGUUUUGGAGAGUUUAGUUUAGGGUGGUGGAUUGGUUGGUAGUCAACUAGGUUCUAAGAUUAUAGUUGGGGCCUAGAGUCAAGAUCAAAUGCAUAGUCUAGUAUACCACAACCCAAUGAUUUAGCCAAUACCUAGAUAUAAUGACAUGCCUUUGCCUGUACUGGGUGCUACAGUUGAAUUUAAUGUUUCUAUGUUAGAGACGAGAAAUAACAACAUUUUAAGCAAUUUAGAAAGAUAGUCCCAUCCCAUUUUCAGGAUAGCCUUAGUAAGGAUAUAUACUAUAUUUUUUUAUUUCCUCCACAGGAGACUCUGGAGCAUGGGGUUAGUUGAGACCCACAUUGGCUACUACAUAGUGUUGUAGAUAUGUGGCCCCUCUAAGUAGAGGUGGUGCUUAUAUAUUAUUUCAAGACCUAUAGGUUCUUAUUUGAUAACUUGAGCUAUGUUUGCAUAGGCCUUUCUUGAUAGAUUUGUCCCUUGAAGCUUGAAGGAGAGUGUAGAAAUCAAUGAGCAUCUAUCAGGUGAUGGUAUUUUAGUUACCAAGUGUGAGACAUGAUUUUAUGUGCUCUGUUGUUAUGCCAUAGUUAUUCUAUCUGAUGAGACUGAGAGGAUCCAUAGGUUUGUGAGGUGUUUGACCCUAAGAAUCAGAGAGGUUGUUUUAUCUAUAGCCCAGUAUAAGGUUAUGUUUUAGAAUGUUGUUGUGGUAGUGAAGGGAUACAAGUUAAUAUAUCAUAAGGAUUAUGAGGAUAUAAGGAACUAGAGGUCUCUUCUUUAGGAAAAUUCAAUGGUACCUCAUAUGGAGAUAGGGGUUCUUUUGAGUGAGAAUUUCUCUCAAAACGUAGUAGGCUAGUUCAUAUGACUAUGUAGUUAUCCUAGGUUGGACAUUUUGAAUGUGGUUCUUAUGAUUUAGAUUAGAGUUCUCAUGGUUCUUCUCAGACAGUGCUAGGUCAUUGUGGUUAUUCUAAGUGUUCAACUCUAUUUAUUGGAUUUGUACUCAUUUUGUUUAUUUUAUAUAUGGGGAUCUUAGGCAUAAUAAGAAGGAUUUCCUAUUGCAAAAGCAUAAAGGUAAAGUAGAAUGGUAGCACCCCCAGCUAGGGGUCAACAAGGAUCCUAGAGUGGUAGAGGCACACUAUCAACUGAUCAAAGAGGUGAUAAGGAACAUUGAUAUGCUUUCUUGGGUAGGUCAAAGACGUAGAUAUAAUUACUAUAGGUAUUUUCUCAAUAUGCCAUUAACCUUUUUCAACGUUAUGUGAUUCUGGUUUUACUUUCUUCUAUGUGUUUAUAUAUUUUGCAUCAAUUCUUGAAAUAAUGUGUGAGUCUUUUAUCAUGGGUAUUCAUGUUUCUAUUUUUAUAGAUGAUUUUUUAGUGGUAGAUAGGGUGUACCAAGCCUAUAUUAUGACCUUUUUUGGGUAUAAUACCUGGGUAGGAUUGCUUAUUUUGGAUAUGGUAGAUUUUGGUAUGACUUGAGUGUGACUUUCUCGAUGGUUAUGUCAUAGACAAAGUGGUGGACCAAGUGGACUUUUAUGAGGUGGUACUUUUAAGGUAGAGUUUAUGAUUGAAAAUGAAAUGUGACAUUCAAUUAAAUAAGAAUAAGGGUAUUUUUUUUUUUUUGAAAAGCAAGGGUUUGUCUUCGGGAACUGGGAUAUAGGUUUAGAAAUACAUGGUUUCUUGGGUCAGAUUCAAGUGAUGGUGGUGUCAUCAUGUGUAUAUCCUUGGUAUAAAGUUGAAGAUUUUGUGGAUUUCAACCUUUCAUUUCAUCUAUGACAAUAGAAGUGGAACAUUUCUUAAUGAAAAAUGGAAUGGUUAGACAUGGACUUGUGAAUGAAUUUAUAGUGAAUUUUGUGAUGGUUUGGUUUUGGAUACAAGUGAUAUAGUUUAAAGAGUUAUGACAAAGGAGGAUUUUUACAGAUAGGGUGGAUAGCAGUUUAACAAAUAUAACUUUGCUUGGAAGCAUAUGUAUACGGGCUUCUAUUAGUUUUGGUUGUUGCUCAACAGUCUUGGUACCUUCCUUUCUCCUAUCUUUAAGGAAAUUUGGUACUAUAUAUUAGUGUUUGUGAUGUGUGGAAGUAGGUGGCAUAGUUCAUGUAUAGACCAUUCCCAUCAUUAUAGCGUUGCUUGUGAUGUAAGAGUUUGGGUAGAGUUUUCCCUAGGAUGACAGUUAUGAAAAUCUCAGGCUUAGGAAAGUUCAUAUGGAAAUUGAUUAUUGUGUGGUAUAGUGGCCACUUGUAUUGCAUAGUGAUAUGCUUAAUGGUUUUAUCGGUGUGACAUGAUAGCUAAGAGAUUUAGCAAUCCAUUGGAUGUUUUGGAAUAGUAUUCAUGUUUGUAUAACUCUAGAUAUGGAUUUUUUCAUAGUGGGUUAUAUCUAUGUUGUCAAAAAGUCAAGGUUGUGUUGUGAAAUAGGGUAGUUUUGAAGCCUCCCACACCUUUUUUCCAGUUGUUUCUGCGGUGGGACCCUGCUCGCUAUAGUCGAUUUGUUGUAGUGAAAUGUCAACCACUAUAGAGGUUGGUGAAUGGAUUAUUCAAACCACUGUAGUGGGUUUUGAUUCGCUGUAGUGAGACCGCUAUAGUAGUUUUCUGCCCACUAGAGCAGGCACCAACAUUUAAAAAUUGUGAAACUUUGAUUUUUGUACUUAAUUCAUUCAAAACCUCUAUAUUUUUACCAAGGGCUUAAGAGAGGUGAUUUUAUUCCUACUUGGGAUAUUUCCACUAUUGAGAUAAGGUUAUUACACCUUUCUAACAUAGAAUUAUCCCCUUUAAACCAUAAAAUCAUUAGAACAAGGUUUCUUAGUGAGUUUCAUGUUUUAGUUCUAAAGUUUAUGGAAAUUAGGGAGAAUUGUAAUAGGCAGCAUUAAAAAUUGAUUGUUAAUGAUUCUAGGAUAAUAUUUUAUAAUUCCUAGUAUAGAACCACUUUCAUUUUAUAUGAAUUGUGGGGAAUUGGGGCGGAUUAAUGGGUGAGAAACCCCAGUUUUAGUCUAUUGACUAGGGUAAAAUUAGUGGAUUUUAGUUCCUAAUGCCUAAAAGUGGUGAAUACGUUAUUCAUUACUCCUUGUUUUUUAUUUUUAGACAGAGAACAAUGUGAAAUGGCAAGAAAGGGAAGAGUUUUAGAGAAUUAUUGCAUUCUAGCUUUUGUAUUGAGGUAAGUUAUGAUUGGGUUAUAGUUAUAAAAUUAAUUUAGAUUCCAUAUCUAUUCAUAGGUUAAAUGUUUAUAAAUUGUCCUUUGAGCAUAUCUCUGAUUUUGUAUGUGGUGGAUAUGAGUUAUAUACAUAAAACGAUAAACAAAAAUUUGACUAACUAUCUAGAGAAAGUGUGUACUUACAUAUUUAGUGCACUGCAUUAUAUCGUGGUUGCUAUUAAUAAGUUAUCAUAUUUGGAGGGUUGGGUACUAUGCCAGUAUACGAUACUUAUAUUUGGAGGGUCGAGUACCAUGUUGGUAUGGUACACGGAUAAAGUUGGUCCCCUAUAGAUCAUUGAAUAUUGGUUAGAUAAGUCCCUUUAUUAUGUAUGUAUAGAUUUAAGAUAAGGUGAUUUACAGUCCCUGAAUUCGGGACAUGUCGUAUAGGUACCUCAAGCCCACAGGAACCGGAGGUCGCCCCGUUAAACUAUCCUAAUCAUCAUCACAACAACCAUAAAGGUCGGGUAAUUCCCAACCUUAUAUAAUAAGAUAGCAGAAAUAUGAGGCUAAUAGUCAAAACAUAGACAAUAACUAAAAUUUCAUUAAUGCCCAUAGUCUAGCCAAUAUACCCAAGUCCAUAGUCAACCACAAAACCUCUAAUAAACUGAAGUCAAUAAUAUGUCGGGACAAGCCCCCGACAAUAGCCAAGUACCAAAUCUAUACAAGUCUAUAAAAUAGAGUAAUGUGACUAUGAAAGCUAGAUCUUCUGAAGUAUGGAAGCUCGCCACCUCAAGGUCGAUUCCCGAAUAGCUCAAACACCUAUUCACUGCGUAGAAGAUAAAUAUGCUCUAGCCCCUAUAUUGCAUGGAGACAUAGUGUCCAGAGAUGGUUAGUGGUUGGAGCACUAACAUGUAACCCAAGGAUAAGGAUAAAAUGGCAUAUUUGUUCAAUACAAGUCAAAUCAUUACAUGCAAUCAUGUUUAAACAAUUAUAGGAAUAUAUGAAGAUACAUGUAUUAUAGAUACACAACAUGCCAAACCAUGGAACAAGUUAUAACAUGCAUUCUCAACUCUCUUAUUCAUGAGACGUGGAGAGAAGAACUUUCAAUCUUCCACUUUAACAAUUUAACCAAGUCAACCAAUUAACCAAUUUAACCAAUUCGAUCGAUUCAUUAGGCAAGGGACUCAAACCACAAGCCAUCUUAUCAGACUAAGGACUGAACCACUAGUCAUUUCUUCGAAUUAAGGACUCGAACCACUAAUAAACUUAUCAAACUAGGGACUCAAACCACUAGUAAUUUUGUUAGACGAAGUAUUCUAACCUCAAGAAAUCUCUUGAGGCGAGGGACUCAAACAACAAACCAUUUCAUUGAUCUAGGGACUCAAACCACUAGUCAUUUCACUGGGUGAGGGACUCGAACCACAAGCAUUUUAUCAUACUAGGGACUCAAACCACUAGUAAUUUCAUUGGGCAAGGGACUCGAACCACAAGCCAUUCCAUUACCAUUAUUAGUCGGCAUUUGAACUUUUAAUCUAAUAGUUUAUACAUUAAUAUCCAUACAAUUUGAUUUGACAUUUAAGGGCUUGAACCAUCUACCCUCAUUAAUACCCAUAAGGGACCAUAAGGUCUUUAUGGAAACAUUCAUUGCUUAAAGACUUUAUUAGGCCAAUGCCUCAAUUCAAAUUAUCAUGCAGUUCAAUCGGCGGUUAUCCAGACCAUUACUAGCCCAUUCAUUCUUUAUUAACAUUUCUAUACCACACUUUAGUUCCACACACAAUUUCUAGUUCAAGAUUAGGGAAUUGAACCCCUUUUAUUAUCCAUCAAACCAACAUGGUCUUAGUUUAACAAAUUACAUGGUCAAUGACAUCAACACAAUACCAAUUAUCAACCAUUCAUACUUAUAGGACCAUCACCCCUAUUUAAAGCCAUAAGAUAAUCCAUUACAUGAUUAACAAGGUUCUUAUCAACCAUUUACAAAGAAUUUACAAUCAUUGUAACUCAAUACAUGGACAAUAAGGCCCUUACCAACCAUCUACAAGUAUUCACAUUUAUCUAGUCAUUAUUAUGACUCAUUCAUGCUCACUAGACCGACUCCAUAGAUACACAUUUGACCUUCACAAAACCAUUUAACCACUAAUCACUUCAAUAGAAUAAAUGCCUUGAUUAAGCUCAUUAUUAAUUAUAUUUAAAUCAUCAAGACCCACAUAACCAUUCACAUUUCAUUAGCAGGCUUACACCACAUUCUCACGACAUUUAGGCUCAACACAUAAAUCAAGUUCAUUUUCAUAUUUAGGGGCUUCAACUCCUCAUUAGUCAUUAAUCCAACAAUGGUGUCAAUUACAUAAUACAUGUCUCAAAAUACCUUUACAAUAGCAUUUGUAAAUAUCCAUGCUUAUUCGGACAUUGCCCUAGUUCAAAACAUCACCAACAUAUGACUAGAAAAUUCACUUAGAUAUUUUCACAAACACCUUAUGUGUAUACCUUUAACAAGGCCAUUUUCAUGGUAGAAAUCAUUAAGAUUAAGGAUACUCAAGAUCCUCAUGUUAAACAUCCAAAAAGUACCUACAUAAGCAAACCAUCAUCAAUAAUAUGUAUAAACACAAGUCUAGGAAAGAAUCAUCAUUAUUCUUUAUUAGACAACAAAACCCUUCUUAUUUGAUUUAAAAGUCACCAUGUACACUUACUAAUUAAAGUGUGAAAUACAUGGGUUUAGAGUUAUUUAAGAAAGGGAAGAGUUACAUUCCUUUAGCAAAAUGAUACAACCAAGAAUCUUGAAUCCUUCUUACCAUUAGAUGAGCACCCUCAAAACCCUAGCCUCCAAUCUUGUUUCAAGAAGCUUUUAUAGUGUUUGAGUCUUGUAAAUGAAGACUUAGGAGGAUACAAUGCCUUAUAUAGUGAAGGGACUUAGGGUUUUAGGCAGGGUAAAUGACCACAAGACCCUUAUUUAGGAUCUAGAAUAUAACCCCGUCCAGGGGUACGACUCCCCCAUACGACUCACAAGGGAACUGUACCCUAGGGUACGAGUGGUAUCCUAACUCAAACCUAGGCUCUUCAUAGGCCUUAUACACUGGUUAGGGUAUGAGUGGACACCCUUGAGUCAUAACAAAAGGAUACGACUUAACCCCUAACUCGUAUGCUUAACCCGUAACAAAAACAAUCCACUUGAGUUUAGACUUCACCCUGUACAAUUGAGUUGCAUACGACUUAUAUGCAUUGGGUACAAUUGAGGGGUGGUGAUGUCAUAAAUUGGACAAUAUACUAUUCUAUCUUGCUGCUCAAGGUAUGAGUGAGGAGGGGUAGGAUGGAUACAACUCAUAUCCAAGGGGUACGAGUGGCUUGUCCAAUCUUACCUUGGAUAACAUUCUCGAAACCCAAAAUUUUUUGCAAGUCCAUGAUCUUAGGUGUUUCAGUGAUGAUGGUUUUGAUGUAUAGUUACAUUGUUAUAGUUUUUGGGUGUUUAUUUGUAUUUCAUAACAUGUUUUACUUAAAUCGAGGUAGAAUAAGUAUACUCUUGUGAGAUGAAUUAGUGAUAAAUGGUUUCUGUGUUAUACAUGUGGUAUUUAGAGUAGUCAUAGAUCCUCCCUUUUAUAGCUGAAUUAUGUGCAUGAAGGAUAGUCUAGUUGAGGUAUGGAAUUGACUAAGUUAUAAUUUGUGAAUUUGUAUUUGUUGAUUUGAAUUACUUGUUAUAUGUUGAAUGAAAAUUUGCAUAUUUGAUUUAUGUUAAAAUAUGGAUCUGAGUUGAGUCAACUAAUGAUAUGUGCCAUUACAUAGUGUGUAUAGAUACUACCUAUGCCCUUCUUUUGUUUAUUGUAGACAAUGUUGUAGCGAUUGACAUAAACCUCAGAUACAAUAUUUGACUUGUAGUUUUUCAAUCCAAGGGUGAGCAUCUACCUUUAGGCUACCAAUUAAUCACCUCAUUUGAUUAUUUCCAUUCUUUCAGACAGUGAUACACUUUUUAAUUUCAUUUUUGGAUAUUUAUCUUAGACUUAUAUUUUGAUUAGAAUGUUCUCGUGUGAUGACUUCAGGUCCUUGGGAAUUUGUCAUAGGUAUUUGUUUUAUUCCAUAAUUUGUUUUUUUGUUCUAAAGAUAUUUAUAUUAACAUUAUUUCAUUAAGAAUUCUUUCUUACAAACAACUAAGUGUUAGUAACAGUUUGAUUUAGUAGUUCUCCCACUGGAGGGUUAGGAUGGAUACCAGUCACAACCAUUUGGAUUAUGACAAAGAUAGUAUCAGAGCCUUAGGUUCAUCAAUCUCAUCAUCAAAGAAUGAGUCUAUUAGUUACUAUCAUAAGGAACCCAUCGACUAUAUGGGUCUGGCUCCCCUCACCAAAAGGACCCCAGUGUGUGUUAGCCGCAUGAACCAGAGGUGUCAAGGAAGGCUGGGGAAUCCACUACCCUUCUCCUAACACUGACAAAAAUAUAUAUCAAGUGUGACACAAACACAUGGUCAUGAAGACCAAUCCCUCACGUCGACAAAUAUAAGUUUCCAGUAGCAGUCCCCCGAGACCUCUACUUUCAUGACUUAGCAACAAAACCCCCUUUAAGCCUAAUUAAACAACUUACAUAUUCCUAUUUAUUAAACUAUAAUCAUCCAUUAAGUCAUACAAUGUUGGUAUCAUCAUUCCAAUUAUGCUUGCAAGCUAUUAUCUUCAUCCCAUAUCAUUUAUAUAUCACUCGGGGGAAUCCACGACCCUAUAAGUUUCAAUUGUUCAUAUCCACAACCCCUAAGGUUCAAUGAUUUUUUCAAAUGGGGGCAUCCAUGACCCCCAGGGUUCAAUUUAAAUACAAAUCAUAGCCUUAAAAGAUUUUCAAAACAGUUUAUGUUCCAUUAGUAUUUUAAUGUAAUGCCAUGAUUUUAUUAUAGAUUCAAUAAGCAUGUACUCAUCUUUUAAAGCCAGACUCAAGGGGUUGGGUUGAGAUUAUUACCAAUUUAAACACCAAAAAUCUAUAAUGUUGGGGGAAUCCAUGACCCCUAUUCCAAUUUACCAUGCCGAUUCACCCCAUUAAUUGAAAAUCAUCAAUAAAACAUAAAUAAUGCAUAUAAAAUCAUGGGAACAUCAUUUAAACAAUAAUAAUUCAAAACCCUCAACCCAAAUGCCAAAGCCAACAUUUAAAACAACAUGGAUAACAAUUUAAACACAUUCCAUAACAAAAAUAAGGUUAGAAAAAGGGAAAGAGGUACAUGCCUAAAAGUAACACAAUUAUGGAGAGAAAUCACCACUUGAAAGAUCAAAAUGAUUAACCUUGAGCAACCUUAGCUUGUUCUUGACUUAGGGAUUCAAGAGAGUUUAAGAGUGUGUUUGAUUAUGUUUUUGAAUGAUAAUGAUAUCCCUAAAGGGUUUUAAGGUCGUGGUUCACAAUUGGGGAAAGGGGAAAUGACCAAAGUACCCUUUAUAAAACACUAAAAAUUUGCCGCCCAGUCAAUAUGGUCACCCUACGACUCGUAAUGACUGAGUACGAGUCAUCUCCUAGACUCAUAGUCUAGGCAGUGUCCCCUGGCAUCCCCAUUGUUGACCCUAUGAGUCAUAUGGUACGACUCGUAGUCCCACAUUAUGACUCGUAGGGUCCACUCAUUAUCACAAAAGAAAUAAGGGGACACUACACUAGUGAGACUAUAAAUCCCAUAUUAAGACUCGUAAUAUCUCACCACAGCCCGUAUGGUCUUAAUCGUACCCCGAACAAAAACUUUGGUACCUACACUUAUUACCCUAUGAUUGGGGCACUACAACUCGUAAUGAGUCUUUACGACUCGUGAUAUCCUAGUCGUAACCAUAAUAGAACCUAGGGCACCCUUUACUGGCCACCCUACGACUCAAGCCUUACAAACCUUAAGGAGACCUUAUGACUCAUAAGGUGAGUCAUAGCUUGGGCAGUAAGCUCAAAUAUAAAAAUUUUCAAAGGCCAAAAUUUUGGAGUGUUACAUUCUCCCCCAGGAUCAUUUAUCCCCGAAUGAUGAGUCAAGGCAUCCAUUAGUAUGAUUAAAAUAAAGAAUAAAACAAUAAUUCCUUUAACAAAGUCAAAAAACAAAGAUGAUAAGGAAAACACAUACCUUAAGCACGUUUGUCUAACCCGGGGAACAAGAAUGGAUACUUGGACUUCAUGUCCUCUUUAGCUUCUUCUUUUACCCUUUGUUCCUCUAUAGAACCUUUACCGAAGCAACAUCCUUAGUCCUCAAAUGAUGGACUUUCCUAUCCAAUAUAUCAACCCGAAUUUCCUCAUAAGACAAGGAAUCCAAAAUACCAACACUCUCAAUAGGCAUAAUCAAAGAAGGAUCACCCAUGUACUUCUUCAAUAUCGAAACAUUGAACAUCCAAUAAAUGGAAGCCAAACUUGAAGUCAAAUCCAACUCAUAAGAAACAUUGCCCGCUCUCCUUAAAAUUGAGUAUGGACCCAUAUAAUAAUGACUGAGCUUCUCCCUUAUUUCUAAACCUCAUCACUCCCUUUAUGGAGACACCAUAAAAAACACUCGAUUGCCAACCUUAAACUCUAACUCUCUUCGCCUCAUAUCCAUAUAGGACUUUUGGUUACAUUAAGCAGUUUUAAGUCUAUCUAGAAGCACCGUCACUUUAUCCAUGGAUUGGGGAACCAAGUCCAGAUCAAAAAAUCUAGUCUCACCAACCUUAAACGAUCCUAUAGGAGAUAUACACCUUCUACCGUAAAAAGCCUUAAAAGGAACCAUCCCAAUACUAGAGUGAUAACUAUUAUUAUAAGUGAACUCAAUGAGAGGAAAAUGAUCAACCUAUUUACCACCAAAAUCAAUUACACAUGCACUUAGUGUAUUUUCAAAAGUAUGAAUGAUCCUUUCUGCCUAUCCAUCCGUCUGAGGGUGGAAUGCGGUGCUAAGUUUCACCCGUGUGCCUAAGCCCUGCUGAAACAAAUGCCAAAAGAGAGAAGAGAAUUGUGUACCUCGAUCCAAAAUAAUAGAAAUGGGAGCACCAUGCAACCUAACUAUCUCUUGAAUAAAUAAUUUUGCAUAAUCCUCUCCAGUGUAAGUAGUCCUCAUAGGAAACAAGUGAGCAGUAUUAGUUAUCCUAUCUACGAUGAUCCAAAUAGAAUCAAACCGAUGGCAAGACUACGAAACACCCAUAGUAAAAUCCAUAUUUAUCACCUCCCAUUUCCAUAUGGGCAACUCAAUCUCUUGAGACAAUCCACCAGGCCUUAAGUGUUCAACCUUCACUUGCUUAUAAACGAUGCACCUAGCCACAAAAUUAGCCAUAAAUCUCUUCAUGUUGUUCCACAAAUAGAUCUCCUUCAAAGUAUGACAUCUUCAUCAAACCUAAAUGAACUGUAUACUACGAAUCAUAAGACUCAGUCAAAACUCUUUCUCGCAGCCCAUCAACAUCGAGAAUACAUAAUCUACCUUGGUAACUCAAGAUAACAUCUCCACUAAUCUCUAAUGCCAUGACCUUCUGCUGAUCCACAUCAGCCUUAUUCUGCAUGAAGAUGGGGUCCAAAAUCUGCUUCUCCUUCACCUAUGGACCCAGAGAUGACUUCAUUACCUCUUGAAAAAUCAUACCUCUAUCUUUAGAAUCCAAGAGGCAAACUCUAAGAUUGUUCACUCGGUAAAUAUCCUUCAUAAAACCCGUCUUCUCCUCAUCCACAUGAGAUAAUCUUCCCAUGGACAACCUGCUAAGAGCAUUGGCAACCACAUUAACUUUACCUAGAUAAUAAUAAAGACUUAUAUCAUAGUCUUUGAGCAACUUAGGACAUCUCCUUUGCCUGAGAUUCAACUCCUUCUAGGUGAAGACAUACUACAAGCUUUUAUGAUCUAAGAAAAUAUCCACAUGAACCCCAUACAAAUAGUGACACCAAAUCUUCAAAGAAAAAUCUACAGGUAAUAAUUCUAAAUCAUAAGUCGGAUAAUUCCUUUCAUGAACUUUUAGCUGCCUAGAAGAAUAGGCCACUACCUUACCAUGCUGCAUCAAGACAUAACCUAGUCUCAUACGCGACACUCCACAGUAAAUAACUAACCCAUUAGUAACCAUGAGCAUGGUCAAAAUUGGUGCAGAAGUUAACUUAUCCGUUAACUUCUCAAAGCUACCCUCACAAGCAUCAGACCACAUAAAUUAUACCUUUUUUUGAGUCAACUUAGCCUACAAAACAACCAUCAAAGAGAAACUCUCCAGAGGCCUCCUAUAGUACCCGACUAAACCUAAGAAAAUCUAAAUAUCUGUUGGAGUCAAGGGUCUAGGCCACUUCUUAACUCCCUUAAAUUUAUGUGGAUCAACUAUGAUCCCAUCACUAGACGCAACAUGACCCAGAAAGAUCACAAUAUUCAAUCAAAACUCACACUUCAAAAACUUGGCAUACAAUCGCUAAUCCUUAAGAGUCUGUAACUCUACUCAAAGGUGAUUGACAUGAUCCUCAUCACCCUUAGAAUAUACCAAGAUAUCAUUAAUAAACACAAUGCUGAACAAAUUCAAAAACUAUCUAAAUGCCCAGUUCAUAAGAUCCAUGAAUGCUACCGAAGUAUUAGUCAACCUAAAAUAAAUGACUAAGAACCUAUUGUGACCACUUCCCUAAUCUUUAAGUGAUGAUAACUCAACCAAUGAUCAAUCUUAGUAAAUCACUUUGUACCCUAAACCUGGUCAAAGAGAUUAUCUAUUCUAGGUAGAGGAUACUUAUUCUUUACAGUCACCUUAUUCAGUUGUUGAUAAUCUAUAGACAUCCAAAGGAAAACAUCCUUUUUAUGCACACAGAGCAUAGGGGAAUCCUAUGGAGAAACACUAUGACGGAUAAAACCCUUAUCAAGAAGAUCCUUUAACUACUUGUUAAGUUCUUUCAACUCAAUCGGAUCCAUUUUGUAAGGAAGAAUAGAGAUAGGGCGGGUAUCUAGUAGAAGAUCAAUCCCAAUAACUAUUUCCUUAUCGGGAAGAAACACCAAAAAGAUCAUCAUAAAAUACUUUAGGAAAUCCGUUAACAAUAAGGAUAUAUUGUAUCGAGGGGACCUCAGAACUGGAGAUUUUAACCCAAACUAUAUGGUAUAGAAACCCCUUGAAAAUCAACUUUUGGGCUUUAAGAUAAGAAAUAAACCUUCCAUUAGGUACUAUAGAACUCCCUUGCCACUCAAUUAUCAGUUUAUUUAGGAAUUGGAAACUAACCUUACGGGUCCUACAAUUGAGAGAAGCAUAACAUGAAUGGAGACAAUCCAUCCCUAAGAUCACAUCAAAAUCUAUUGUAUUCAAUUCUAUUAGAUUCACCAAUGUCUCCUGACCACAGAUAGGUACCACACAACCCCUAUAGACCCUUUUAGACAUAACAGAAUCAUCCACUAGAGUAGACACUGAAAAGCGAUUGUAAAUGCACUUCAGAUCAAAACUAAAAUGAACAGCCAUAUAAGGGGUCACAUAAGAAAGGGUAGAGCCCAGAUCAAGUAAAUAGUACACAUCACGAGAGAAAAUCUAUAAUAUAUUAGUGACAACAUUAGGAGACACCUCAAAUUCAUGAUGGGUAGCAAGAGAAUAAAUACGAUUCCAACCAGUACUAGACGUAGCACCUUUUGGUGCUGGAGCUAAAGAAGUAGAAUCAAAACUUUAUUAGAUCCCGAUGCAACCUCUAUUGGAUAGUGUCGCUGUAAAUUGCCCAACUGACCAUAAUCAAAGAACUUAUUCCUUCACUUAUCACAAACUUUGUGAUUCAUCUUUCCUAAAAAAUAAUAAGAGGGAUAAGUGUAAGGCCCCGCAAAGUUCCCUCGUAGUAUGAGCCGUAGGGCAUGUCGAGUGAGGCAUGAUUCCAACCCUAAAAGAUUGAGAAGUUUCUUCCUAAGUGAGUAACGUGUUAACCAUAUAGAAUUUUCCUAAUUUCUAAUUUUUGUCACAUGGGAAAUCUGAUAAGAUUUUCAUCGAUAUAAGAUUUUCCCAAAUCCGACACUCGGAUAAGAAGUUAUGGCUAAUUUAAGCCUUAGUCGUAAAGCUGCAUCAUUUAACUGCCUAGCGCGUCGCGAAGAGGGUUGAUUUGGCAAUUGUCAAUUUUCAGUGGAAACCCACGAUAGUGGCACAUCGCGAAGUUGUCCCGGUCCCAACCAGUAGGAAAACAUGAUAGUUCUGCAUUGCGGAGGCUGCCAAUUUCCCAAUUGUCAAAUUCCAGUGAGCCACCAUGAUAAGUGGCGCAUCGCGGAGGCCAAUGAAAUCGGGUUCCAGUUCAAUUUUUCUAGUUUCACACAGAUGUUUAAAAAGGCACUUUGGACCUUUUCCAAGCCUAUAUAAAUCGUGGAAACACUAAAUCAAAGCCAUUUUACAAGCAUCUUAUGAGGUUUUUUCUCAUGUUAUCUCUCAACAAAAACCCUAAGUAUCCAAAAAAUCCUCCAAGAACCUCAAGAAUCCACCAUGGAUUUCCUAAAUUGAGUCAAGAUUCAAGGUUCUCAAGUCAAGAACCCUCAUUCUAGAGCACAAAUAGAGUUCCAAAAGUGAGAGUUCAUCAAAAGCUUCUAAUUCAAGGUACGUGGGGUUUUUGAACAAGGGUAACCCUUUCACCCUUGUGCCCAAAAGACUAUUUACAUCAUGAAAUUCUUGAAAUAUAUGAGGCUUUUCAUGAAUUUGAAUUGGGUUUUUCACCCAUUAUUAUUGAAUGCAUUAUAUUGAUAUUUCCCAUGAAUUAAGAGUCAAAUGGCAUAAUUUCUACAUGUUUUCUUGAGUAUUUAUAGAUGGGUAUAAACCCCAUGAUUUUACUCCUUGAUAAGCUAAUAUUUGGAUUGUUGAGAUAUUGAAGCAUAUGGCUAUUUUGAGAUUUUGGGGGUAAUUUGCUGAAAUUCCCAGAUUUCCACAUAAUUUAUGAACCUAUAUGCUAUAUAUUAUGCUUUUGAUAAGGUUUAACUUGAGAUUUAAUUAUGGGUUAGUAAGCCCUAUUUGAGACUUGUGAAAUUAUGACUCUUGUGCUAUGAGCACCUAUGUUUUGAGUAUUUUGAGAUGAUUGAGAAAUAAAUUGACCUAAUGGUCCUUAAGCUUUGAAAUCCACUUCACUAUAUGAGAUUAUCGAUUUGAUUAUUCGUGGUGAACCAUGUGAUUAUUCUAAAAGUAGAUUUUUUUAGAUAAGCACAGAUAAUCUAAAGGGAGUAGUAUUUAGCACCGAGUGAGUAAGUUACUAUGGUUCUUACCCCAAAACUACGUGUCACCAUAGGUUGGGCCUGAGGUCGAGUUUAUGAUGAUAAUGACUGGGCCUGAGGCCGAGUUUCAUUUAGUGAUCACUAGACCUAGGUUAUACUCCCUGGCAAGAUUAUGGCGCUCCUCCCCAACGUGGGGUUUCUUCUUUAGGAGGAAAAAAUGUUGGACUCCAUGUAGCUCACAUGGUUUAUGUCGGUUAUGAGAACCUCCCUUGACAUUUAGAAUUUGAGAUCAAAUGCCUAUUUUCCUUCCCUAUAAGCUAUUUUCCUAAAUGGUUGAAUUGCGAAGAUGUUUCCCCAACUAAAGUAUUUUCUUGAUGUGAGUUAUUUCCUAAAUGAAAGCAUCUUCCCUUGUUGUAGUACUUUUAUAAAGCCUUGAGGUAAGUUGUUUCCAUAAACUAGAAUACCUUUCCAUUUGAGAUGGAGUGAUUUCCCUAGAGCUUAAGAUGAGACAUUUUCCUAAAGUGAAUGAAAUGCAUUCAAGUAUGUUUUCAAAUUAUAUGAUUCCAAAUUCUAAGUAUAUAAGUUCUAAAUAGUUAUGAAAUGUUGAGAAUUGAAGAAGUUUUACUCUCCAUGAGACUUAUGCAUGAGUUGAAAGUAUUGUUCAAAGUCCCUUAGCCUUUGGGUAUUGAGAAUAAGAGAAGAUUUUAAGUUUUUAGAUUAAACAAUGAUGACUUAUGAGAUUUGUGUUACAUGCUCCAUUCUACAUGACUUAUGAGCUUUAUAUUUUAUACUUGUUCAAGCCAUGUGAGUCGUAUCAUAAUGCAUACAUGAUUUGAUUAAAGAAAAUUUUUACUAUUUUAUUCAUAUGCAUUCACCCCCGCAUACUCAGUACAUUCCAAGUAUUGAUCCACAUAUAUGUCUAUGUGCUACAUUAUGUCAUAAUGUAGGUUCAGGUGCAAAGUCCCAGCCUCGCCCGUGAUUCUUUGAGUACGUUGCCUACGUUUUCUACAGUGGUGAGUCCUCAUGGUUCGAGGACCGAUCUUUAGAUAUUUACUGUACUUGAGAGACUAUGUUUUAUCUUCAGUUUAUUUUGAGUCAGUUGGGGACCUGUCCCAACGGCUCACUAGAUUUUUAUUUGUAGAGGCUUGUUAGACUAGUGUCAGACUUGUGAUGUGUCAAGGGUUCGAUAUUGUGGUUUUGUUGAGAUUUCUAUGUAUUGUGGUCUUAUAGAUCGAGUAUCUUUCUAUCUUUCUUUUUAUGUGAUAUGACUAUGCUAGUGUUGA
rnacentral:lncRNA from 1 species